UAGUAGGGAAGCGCAGCACAUGCAUGCAUGCAUGCAUGUCCCUUCCGUCGAUCUACUGAAGUCAGUGCUGUCUCUGUCUACUAGAAAUGUUCGGUGUGUGUUGAUCUAUCUUAUAUUACUAGUGUACUACUCCAGAUCUGUUGAUCUGCCGCUAGCUAGUUCCUUCUGUCGAUCCUACCGAAGUUCCAUGUAAUGCCCAAGAAGAUGCUGUGUGUGUCAAGUUAUCUUAGUGUGCUCUGUUGAUUUGCAUGUCUCUUAAUUAUGAUCUGUGAUCUAGUAUAUCCUACAACGUCAGGUUGAAGAUGGAUCUAGCAUUUGUGUGCAGCACAUUUGAGGCUGAGCAUCCAGUGUUUUUUCCGGUUCUUUCUUGUGUGACAUUGCGCUGUAAGCAUUAAUUUGCCCGUUUUUCUGUCUGGGUUCUUAGGAGUGUGUGGGCCAGAUGAUCUGUCUCCUUUACGAAAAAGAAACAACUCGUCUUGAUUUCUCGCCUCCAUCUUCUUUUGUUCCUCUCUUUACUGCAGGACAUGUCGUGCUCAUCAGCUUCUCCUCCCUGGAGUAGUGGUUCUAGUUUGUUAACAAUCUCUUCAUAGUUUUGGACAGAUGAGAAAGCAAGGAUUAAUUUCUUUUCUUUAUUAACAGAUCUUUGUAAUGGUUGACAGUUGACACUCGGUUAGCAUGCAAACGUUUCCGAAACUCGGUUAGAAUGUUUGCAUCACAAUAUUGCCGAUGUUUCUUCUCUGAAAAGGAGCGAUGAAGAAAGAUGAAAAGGAUGAAUACACCGUAGUCACUGGCUACUAGCACCAUGCCACUUGCCUGUUUUGGUGACAUUAAAAUAUGUUUCUUAAUUCUAAAAUCAGUGCUUCUUUUCUGAAUGUAGACUUGAGGAUUGUAGCCGUAUAUUUUUCCUGCUCAGUCAUGCACUCAGUUUCCAACAAAGGAUUUGAUCCUGUGUAUUAUUGCUCUAAUUGUUAACUUCGAAAAAUGUAUCAGAUCCAUUGAGCCUCAACCACAAACAAAACAUGAACAAGACCGAAAGGCCAUAGAUGUUUAGUGCAUCAGCAUUGACUAGAUUGCUGAUGCUAGUGCAAGUGUGAGACUGUUAGAACUAUGCCCUGGAGGCAAUAAUAAAAGUUGAUAUUGUUUUAUGGGACAUUUACAUUUGUGCCCAUAACUGGAACCAACUACUCAUAUUUGCCCCUAAUUUCGAAGCAUACCCAAAUCUAUCCCUCUGUCGUUAGUUGCCCUUAUAGAACUGCCCUUUUGCGUCGUUACCGUCCGAUCAAAGGGCUUUGACCAUCUCGAUAAAAUUAGCAGAAAAAUCUGAAAUUUUGUGGGAUCAAAGAUAGUUAGGUGCUUGUCAAUUUUCUUGAUGUUUAGACAUACCAGGAGCAUGUGGCAAUGGAAAACAAUAAAUCUGUACGACUGUGAAUAGUAAAUUCAAAGAAAAUAGCAAGAAAAUUCAAAAAGUACGAAAUUUUUUGGCAUCCAAGAUGCUCGGAUGCGCAAGGUGUGUGCAAUUUUUUUUAUCAAAUGACAUGCAAGGAGCUCUAGCAAAAAAACAAAAUAGUGUAUUUGUUCAAAGUUUUUUCCGAGCCAGAUUUUGUUUUUUUCGCGCGCUCCUACAAUGUCCAAGCACAACAAAAUUUUGCACACACCUUGUGCACCCGAGCAUCUUGGAUGCCAAAAAAAUUCAUACUUUUUUGAAUUUUCUUGCUACCUUUUGAAUUUACUGUUCACAGGCGUACUGAUUUACUGUUUUUCCUUCGCCAUGAGCUCCUAGAGUGUCCAAACAACAUGAAAAUUUGCACGCACCUUGCGCACUUGAGUACCUUCAAUCCCACAAAAUUUCAGAUUUUUUUGCUAUUUUUUCGAGACGGUCAAAGCCCUUUGCCCGGACAUUAAGGGCGCGGAAGGGCAUUUCUAUGAGGGCAACUAAUGGCAGAGGGACAAAUUUGGGCAUGCUUCGAAAUUAGGGGCAAAUCUGACUAGUGGAUUCCAGUUAGGGGCAAAAAUGUAAAUGUCCCUUGUUUUAUUUGCAUGUUCGUAAUUAAGUUUAUAUUUCAAUGCUAGAAUUGCAUUGGUUUUUGAAAGUGAGAUUUAGAGGAAAACCAAAUUUCAUGUUUAGAGAUAUAAACGCGAAACAGAGUUAGACCUCUGGACUUGCUCAUGUAUUGUUGAUGGUUCUGCUUUCAUGGCCAUGUGCAUAGUUAACGUAACGAGGAUGAAAAAAAUGAUCAGAGCAUGUUGUUAGGGUAAUAAUGAUGUUGGAUAGAUCCAUCGUAUUGUAUAACGCGAGUUCGUGUUGUCAAUAUGUUGUAUGUUACUCUAUAACUGGGUAAUUAUAAAGUUAACUUUUGGUAACGCAAGGAAGUAUGUCGUGGUACUAGAUAUGUGAAGACUUAAACUUGCCCCUCCGGCGAUCGAUAUAUACACUCUCAGACCACAUGGUAUUACACUGUCUGGCAUCUCUUGACCAUGUAUUGUGACUAAGGAAUUAGUCAUGUGCAUCCCGAAAUACGAUUACAAGGAAAGAGUACAAACCUGUAAUGAGGAUAACUACGUAUAGUGAUCAAGUAGUUGUCACAACGAUACAAUCAAAGUCUCCCCUCAUGUUUGGUAACGUAUGGAGAGGGAAAGGCAAUUGCAUGCGAUAAAAAAAGUUUUUUUUAUAAAGAUCUACAAUGUUAUGUGGGGAUUAUUGUGCGUGUCCAGAUCUCACUAAUAAUUAUUGACUAGAAGGUGUUACAAACUUGUCCAUGUAGUCUUGAACCUAUAGGGUCACACGCUUAAUGAUUAGCAACAUAUAGGAGUAAUAUGUGAUAAUCAAGAACAAGAUAGAAGGGGUCCAAAAGUAUUUUGAUAAUAUCAAAAUUGUUCCCGGAGGUCCCGAGAGCGUCCCAGUGAUAUCAUGUAGUGUCUCAGAAUGUUCUGUAAGGUGGCGAAAGCUCCAAUAUGUUCCAAAAACCUUUUGAAAAUUCUGGAAGGAUCCUAAUGCCACCUACCCCCUGCCUUGGGGGCAAGGCGGCCCAUAGGGCCCAAGUCGGCCAACCCCCCUAUUUCUUGGGGGGGCAAACCAACAAAAGGGGUGUGCUCCUACAAGGACUCCACCUCCAUAGGUCGGAUGAAACCCUCACCCCUCCACCUAUAUAUAGGUGUGGGCGCAUCAAGAGAAGUUUGGUACACGCACUCACCCCUAUGGACACAUGUACGAACACCCUACACAUAUAAGCAGCUUCAAGAUAUUGAGGGAAUAACAUCUUGAGAUUAAUGCGAGCAUUAGUGUCAAGAACAUCACUUGAACCCUUGUGGGCUGACUUCACCACCAGGAACCUAACCAUCUAAGCUAUGUCCAUUAUUACCUAUAGUAUUGUCACAAAUAAGACAUCACUGAUGAAGUACCACAACAUGAACCUGAUGCGGCGAUACAUUGCUGUGCAAUCCACAAACUCUUGUCGUUUCAGUCCUGUCACACUGUCCUGAUUGUUCCACAAACCAACACAAAUCAGAGAAUAAACUCUGGAAAUCAGAAACACGAGUGCCAUAACCAAAAAAAAAUCACCCGAGCAAUAUUUAGCAAAUCCCUUCGGUACCAUUAUUUAGAUUGGAGCUUUUCAACUCCAUUUUGAGAUUGACCACAUUUAAAUUUGGACUUAUCAGGUGAUUAACUUUGUUUUUUUUUUGCUUGAGAAACACAAUGCAGACAUAGACACUCACAUAUAUGCAUGUACAAUUAUAACCCUAUAAAGACACACACCACUGGCACUUGGGCACAUAGGUGUCAAACAUGUAGUUUGAUCCAUGGUGUGCUAGGGGUACAACCAUCCGCCUAAUCAUCCAACCACAAAAUGAUUCUCGGUAUUGGCAUAAUUAUGGGUGGGUUUGCAAACUGAAAAAAAAAAGCAUGCUCUACCUUUGUCUAAUCAAACAGCUCGCCAGCCAAAUAAAUCUGGAAUGGAGGGAUAACAACGGUCGAUCCUAUCCAUCUUUAUCCAUGAGGUUUCAUCCUGAUGAUGAUAUAGAGCAUGUGGGUAAUCUCAAAAAAAAAUCUAUAGCAUGUGAGAUUUUAUCUUUAAUGUCCUGCUACCAAAGAUUUGCCAUCGUGGAUAAUUUCCUAAUUAGCAUCCUUAUAUUAGCCACCUUUGGAAUCCAAUAAUCUUAUUCUAAAUUUGGGAGCCUGUCUUAAAACUCAUCCUUAUCUUUGAGGAGUCAUCCGGAUGAUAUCAUGAUUUGACCACGAUUUUAUAUGGCACGUUGUUAAUGCUCCAAUUGAAUUCCUUCCAUCUGCGUUAUUCGGGAAACCUGCUGCUCAGGACUACAAAUAGGAGGGAGCGAGCAAGACAUCCAUACCACACUCGUUUCUCGCAUCACAAGGUCGUUGGCCCCGUAGCACAAGCGAGUUCAUCACAAAACCAGCUGCAAAGGCUCGACGGCGAUGGCUUCCAAGAUGGUCGGCGCCCUCUUGCUGGUCCUCCUGCUGGCGCUCAACCAGAGCGACGCCCAGGUGUUGCCGACCCCCUGCUGCAACCUCAAGUGCUGUGGGUACGAUUGCUGCGGGCCCCCGGUCACAGCCACGGCACCCAUUUCGCCAUUCUCCGCCGCCCCCGAAGCAGGACCGGCCGGCCCGGUUUCGCAGCGCGUGCUCCGCAAGGUCUUCCCCGGAAACUAGCGAUGUUCAGAUGCAUGUAGCGAUGCCCCCCGUGACGUAUGAUUCCAUUGCAAGUGUGCUACUGGCACCUAGCUAGUUUCGCUGGUAUUACGUAUUAUUUUUAGCUUGUAUUCCUGAUUUGUUCUGUUCCAUCGAAACAGCAAUAUAGGAGUUUAUAUCCUGCAGUAGCAUUCCAAUUCUACAGCUAUAAUGUGUGUGCAAUGAUAAACCAUGUUCGAAACACAAAUAAUCCACCCAUCCUUCAGAAGAACAGAACGCAUAAUCCUCCAAUUAAAUCUGCCGAACCUGAAUCAGCUAUAGCUGCUCUAGUCUGGAUCAGUCCUUCAUCUCGGCUGCCUUCUCGUCUCCCAGAACAAUAUUGUUUCCUAAAAAGUAGUCAUACAUGUUCCCUUUAGGUGGACAAAAUUCAUAACCGGUUUAGCAACUGCGCCUACUAAAAAUAGCUUAGGAUAGGUUUUUACCCCUUUUUCUUGAAAAAAAUAUAUUUUUGAAUGUGGCCUCAGUGCUCAUACAACCAUAAGGCGUUUGAAUGUGGUCAAUCCCAAGGUUUCCCCAAAAAAGUUUUUGUCGAAGUGUGCAUGCGAGGUUAUAGAUUGUUUUGUCCCUAAUGUGAUUUUGUUGAUGUGUUGAUUUCCAAUCUGGAUCUACAUCGGUACGAAACAAAGGCGAAUUGUGAGCUAUUGAUUAAGGUUGCAUACUAAAUAACACUUAAAAAUGUUUCACAGCUAACCAACAUCAUUUGAAAAUUCUACACAUUUUUCUAAUCAACUUUUCAUAUAUAACAUGUCAAAAUUGAAGUUACGGUUCUUAAGUUAUUGAUACUUUUAAAAAGUAUUUGAAUCUGCCCCCAAAAUAUAAUGUUAUUUUCUAGAUGGACUAAGGGUUUAUUAAAUGAAAUAUCAGGGAGUUUUAUACAAAAAGUAAAACAUUUUCUGGUGUCACUUAAAACAGGAUUGUGGGUUUACCAUUUUCAUUGCAAAAAGCUUUUUCUUUGCGGGAUGAUAGCCAUGCACGUUCCCUUUAGAUGGCCCAAAUUUAUGGCCGGUUUAGGAACUACGCCUACUAAAAAUAGCUUAGGAUGGGUUUUAACCUUUUUUUUCUUGAAAAAAAAUAUGUUUUUGGUUCCUCAAAUUUGCCGAAAUUAUAGAUCUGGUCCGUCAAAAAAUGUAGAAACAAAACAUAUAAUUUAAAAAAGUUAAUCAUAUACUCCCUCCGUCCCAAAAUUGUUACAUCCGUAUCUAGACAAAUCUAAGACAAGAACUUUGGGACGGAGGGAGUAUAUAAGAAAGGUCAAAACUAUAUGUAAAAUGUUUUAGAUGUAUACUAAAAAUGUACAAUAUAUGAAAACAAUAGUUAUCAAAACAUAUAUCUGAAAAAAUGGUAAUCAUUUAUUUGAAAAAAUGUUAAACAUAUAUUAAAAAAUGUUUUACAUAUAACUAAAAUGUUUGAUGUAUAAAAAAUAUAUAAUAUGUACAAAAAUGUAGGCAUGUGUUUAAAAAAUAAAAAUAAUAAGAAAGAAACAAAGAAAACAGAAAAGGAAAACAAGAAAAUCGGAGAAAAAGUGCAAAAAAGAAAAGGGAGACAAGAAAAAAUUUGGGAAAAAAUGGAAAGGAACAAAGCAAAGAAAACGAAGAAACAAAUCAGUGAAAAUCGAGAAAGAAACAAAUAAAAUGGUAAACCGCAAAGUAAAAAAGAACAACAAAGAAAACCGACAAAGAAACAAAUAAAACUGGAGUAAAACAAAGAUAAAAAGUUGAAACAGUGAAAACCGAUGCAAAAGCAGUGAAAAACAACCAAAAACAAAAGCAAAGAAAAACAGUAAGGAAACAACAGAUAAACCGAGAAAACCAGUAAAGAAAACAAGAAACCAAAGCAGGGAAAAAUCGAAACAAAACAACAGCGACCAAACGAAACGCAUGACCGGGAAAACAGCAACGCCCGAAUGAAUGUACUUAGCCGACGCAUACGCGUGGGUGUUGUGGGCGAGGGGAGCUACCAUCUCGCUAUAAGUGAGAUAUAGCUUGUGCGGAAUUUUCUUACUAAACACUAGUAUUCCUCCCGACGCGUUGCGACCCUAUUCGCUGUCCAAUAGGCUUUGUAAAUAAUUAUUCUGGUUAUAAAAGCAUACGGGAAAUAGAGGAUGCUCCUUCAUCUCAAUAAAAGUGCUCAUAUGGCAGGCCCACGUGCCAAAGUGAAUUUUUGAAAUAUUCUUCUUUAUUUGAUUAAGUAGAGGGAAUCUACUGUUAUCACCCUUUGCAUGCAUGAAUUCUCUUGUGGAUAGAGUCGGGCGCACCAUAAGACUAAAAUGGGCACACGCCCCAAACAUUCAUGAUGAAAUUUGAAUGGUAGAAAACCAAAGUACUCCUUCCUUUUUAUUUACUCUGCAUAUUAGGUUUAACUAAAGUCAAACUUAAGUUUGACCAACUUUACAAAAAAAUAUACUUUUACCUUAAUGAAAAUAUAUGAUGUGAAAGUACAUUCAAUAGUGAAUCUAAUGGUAUUAAUCUGUUAUUGUAUAUGUUAAUAUUUUUUGGCCGUUUUUUCCUUACUGCUUUUCUUUGCUCGAAACUUCUAUUGCACACUGGCACUUGAUUUGUUUAUAAACUUUGUCAAAGUUUAUUAGCUUUGGUCCAUAUUAGCUUUUGUUCAACCCAGCUCGAAACUUCACUUGAACACCGGCACUUGCUUAAUUUUGCCUGCUAUGAAGUUAGAUACUGAACUAUGGCAGGAUAUUUGCACAGUUCUGUGGUAUUGAGUCUAUGAGAUUUUGCAGAUGGUGCGAUAUGGCUUCAAUCUGAACGUCCCUCCAUAUCCGUGAGAGUAGGGAAUCUCUAGCUGUGAACACUACCUGAAUCAUACCCUACGCCGCGGCAAAGGGCCUAAAACACUCGGCAAAGUCUUUGCCGAGAAUUGUUCUCGGCAAAGUCUUUGCCGAGAAUUGUUCUCGGCAAAGGCCACUCGAUGUCCCACGUCCAACGCCGAGUGGAUGCUUUGCCGAGAUCUCCUCUCGGCAAAGCUAACGAUUAGCAAACCAGCCACGUGUCCACCACCUGACUGGCGGGUCCCACUACCUAUGCCGAGCAUCAACUUUGAAGAUUAUACAAUUUCCACUUUACCACUAUUUAUAAAAAUGUAGUCAAUGUUAGAAAAGUUUGACUGUGUCAUUCUACAAAGUAUAUUCUUUCACUAUGGCGAAUAUAGGGGGAACUGCAGAAUCCUCAAGCAGGAUUUUCAUGGGAAAACCCCAGCUUUCCUCUGGUUCUGUCAUCCUCUCGAUUCCUGAUUGUGUGGGCAUGAUUCAUAACAAGAGCAUCCUUAUGUACUCCUCAAGGACGGGGAGCGUCUGCCCUUCGCCGUAGCCAAAGAGGACCCUCACCAUCCUCGCGAGGUUUAGCGAGAUCCGGGUCAUGCUGGGCGGGAAUGUCCUCCUGGAGAAGCACUCCCUGUUGAGCUCCCCCCACUCACUCUCGAUCAGCGCCAGCAUAUGCCCCUUCGCGUCGCCACCGGGGUUCUCUUUCAGGUACAACUCCUUGUAUGAUCCGUCCAGGCCAUCUUGCGCUUCGUCCUGCAUGGUGCAAGAAUGGUGAUCAUGUUAUGGUAUCUUAAACCAGUGGGGCUAAGAUUCAUUAGAAAUUCUAGGUUUCUAAUUAAGCAGGGGGGUAAUUUCAGCAGUUGGAAUCUGACCUUGGCACUGCCCAUGUCAUCCCAAAGUCUCAAGAUCUUUGACGGGCAGGAGAUUAUCGGAGGGAUACGGCCGGCCGUGAGGUUUGUAGCAUCCCUUGUUGGAUCAUGUCCUAGCAUGGAAAAGAGAUGCACAAGUGCAAGUGGUCCUCCUGUAGUGAUGACGCCGUUCGAUAGGUAGUCAUCUAGGGAAGGAACAUGAUUAGCAGACAACCAUUUCGCCUCAAGCAAAAAUGCAUCGAAAAGCAUGGCCCACUGCAAAAGAAAAAUGAAUUCACUAUUUUCAGUUGAUUAUUAUUUUCCUUUUUUUAAUAUAUUUAUACAUGAACUUAAAUAUUCUCAAAUAUUAUAUAUUGGAUAGAUACAUAUGUUGCUCGUCCAACAAACAAUUUAGUUGGUUAUCUAGACAAAUCAGGAAAUCUAAAAGAAUAAAGAUAUUCCAAGAGACAUACAUCUUUUUUGAGAUGAUCAAUAGGGUUCAGCCCAUGUUCUCUUUCAGCCAUAUCUGCGAUGUCAUUUGUGAUUGUAUAAAGAGAACUGUAGCAUGAUCUCAUGUAGCUUGGAAGUGAUGCAGCAGCUGCAAGAUCCCACCUGUAAGAAAUGCAUUUUCUAACAUGAAAUUUCGGUUACACAAUACUGACAGUUACUGUUGAUCAUAAACAGCGAGAUGAAUUUAUAGUAGCCAGAAAGGAAAAGCCUACGUUCUGAUUGCCUCGGUGAAGCGAGAAAGCUCCUCUUGUGUUGCAACAACAUCAAAGAUGUCAUCCACAAUACUGACAAUUGCAAUGAUUUUGGUUAUCUCAAUCCGGUAUCUGGAGAAGGAUUGCCCCUGGAGGAUAGUCAUGGGAAACAUGUACCAUUUAAGAAUUUGGUCACGCGUAGCUGGUAUUUCUUGAGCCAAUCCCAGGCCCAUCCACCAUCUGUCACAAUGACAUUUAGAAGUUAAAGAAGAAAUUUGUCAAUACCCCCAAAGAUAGGUAUAAAAUGGAGAAUGUUAUCUAAUGUGAAGAUGGUAAAUCAACUUGGAAGACAGAUUAGGUACUAAUUUUCAACUCAGUGGUCUUUGUGAUGGACCUGAGAAGAAACAAAUGCUCUAGCCACAUUCCUCUUCUGGGAGCUGCAGAUAAAACAUAAAGUUUGCAAGGAAUGAACUUAUAUAUGUACCUCUUAACCUCUUGCAUUUCCAUCUGAUGCUGCAACUUGUUAAGCUUGAAGUCUGCAAGUGCCAGCUCCUCCAUUGCAGUGUUCCGAGUGGGCAAGCUCUGGAGAUAGCUCAGGUGGUGUCUAGCCUUGUACUGCAUCAGGCUCACAUGGUAGGGAUGAUCCAGUGAAUGCCUCACAUAUCUUGCAAGGUUUAGGUCCAAGUGUUUAAUUGCAGAAGUGAGGUGUUUCCUUGAGAAGUCAUUUGCCUUGUAUAGUGAUGCUUCUCCCAUGUUCAAGUGUGAUAUGUCCUGCAAGCUGAGCAACCCUCUGAUGUCUUUGGUAUGAUCAACGUUGAAGUCCUCGUUUUCAUUGACAAACUUUUGAAGAACCUCAUCUACCACAUCAAGGAUAAAGGUUUUUAGGAAUAUAAACUGUGGUUGCAAUAACAGGGCGAAAAUAAAUUUUACUUUCAGACACACAAGGGGUUGAGACAAGGGGAUUCCAUGUCUCCUCUCCAAUUUAAUAUAGUGGCCGAUAUGUUGACCAUUCUUAUAGGCAGGGCCAAGCAAAACGGUCAAGUGGAUGGGCUAGUACCUUGUUUGGUCGAUGGGGGAGUCUCCAUUUUACAAUAUGCUUACAACACUAUCUGUUCAUGAAACAUGACAUUGCAAAAGCGCAAAAUAUGAAACUCAUAUUAUGUCUUCGAACAUUGUCUGGAUUAAAAAUAAAUUUUCACAAGAGCGAGUUGUUCUGCCUUGAAGGCCAAAGAAGAGCAAGACACAUAUAGACAAUUGUUUGGGUGUGAAUUAGUUUCUUUACCUUUCAGCUAUUUGUGCAUACUGAUUCAUCACCGUAAGAUAUCUAAUAAAGAAUGGAAGUGCAUUGAAGAUCGAAUUGAAAAAUAGCUUAGUUGCUGGAAGGGCAAGCUAAUGUCGUAUGGAGGUCGGCUAGUGUUGAUAAACUCAGUACUUACUAGUAUGCCGAUGUUCCUAUUAUCUUUCUUCGAGGUACCAAAAGGGGUGUGGAAGAGACUUGACUUCUUUAGAUCUCGAUUCUUCUGGCAGUCAGAUGAGGCCAAGAAGAAAUACCGUCUCGCACGAUGGGAUAUUCUAUGCCGACCCAAGGACCAGGGGGGUCUCGGUAUUGAAAACCUGGAAGUUAAGAAUAAAUGUCUUAUGAGUAAAUGGCUCUACAGGUUAGAGACAGAGCCGGAGGGUAUGUGGGCAUAGAUAUUACGCAAUAAAUAUCUACAAUCAAAAACGCUAGCCCAGGUCACCGUGAGACCAACUGACUCGCCAUUCUGGAAGGGAUUCGUGUGAACGAAAGAUUUGUUCUUUCGUAGGGUCAAAUUCGUGGUUGGCAAUGAGAUGUCAACAAGAUUUUGGGAGGAUACGUGGUUAGGGGAGACGCCACUAGCCAUACAGUACCCCACCCUAUAUAACAUUGUGCAACGUAAGGAGGAUUACAUAGGCACCAUACUUCAAUCGACUCCCUUGAAUAUUCAGUUCAGACGUGCGUUAGUUAGUGAGCGAUGGACUACCUGGAUGCACUUGGUCCGGAGAUUGAUAGAUGUUCAACUAUCCGACCAACCAGAUUCGAUGCACUGGAAGUUAGCCAGAAAUGGGGUGUUUACGGUGAAAUCUUUUUACAUGGAUCUGACUAAUUCUGGACCAAUCUUGAGAUCGUUACAUAUUUGGAAGGUUAAGGUUCCCUUGCGUAUUAAAAUAUUUAUGUGGUUCAUUCACAAACAAAUGAUCCUAACCAAAGAUAACUUAAUAAAGAGGCGGUGGGUAGGUAGUUCACGUUGUUGUUUUUGUGAUCAUGUUGAAACAAUACAACACUUAUUCAUAGAGUGCCCAUUCGCGAAAUUGCUUUGGAGAACGAUCCAUAUAGCCUUUAACAUCACUCCUCCAGUUGACAUUGAAUUGUUAGUUGGGACGUGGUUAGCUGGGGUGGAGCAUAUUACUGCGAUUGAUAUUCGGAUUGAAAUAUGUGCGCUUCUUUGGGCUAUAUGGAAUUGCAGGAAUGAUAUGAUUUUUAACAGACAACCUAAUCUAACUUUCUUGCAGGUCAUCUUCAGAGCUACUGUAUGGAUCCGUACGUGGUCCUUACUCACUCCUACGGACUUCAGGGAGCCUUUGGUUACUAGGUGCAACCAGUGGGAGAUGGUAGCACGGGCUAUAUUCAACCAGUUCAGAUGGCGGUUGCAUAACAAGAUAGGAGUCUAGGGAGCUUGUCCUUUACAUUGUCAUACCUGUUGUAAUAUUGAACAUUCGCUUCUUUUUUCCUUUUUCGCUCCGCUUGCGAGCUGUAAUACUUUUAUGACUUUGUGCUACUUCGAGACUUCUUAAUAAAAUGGCUGCAUGCAUCAUCCGAUGCGGAGGCCGGGGCCGAGCCUCCAUUUUCAAAAAAGGGCAAAAAUAAAUUUAAUUCGAUAUGUGGAUUAGUCACAACUAGCUAGAACAACUUCUGGACCCUGACAAAAAAAGCGUACUAUUCUGCAUGACAAAUUCAUGACCAAUGAAUCAAAAGCCCUCGAGAAGGUCGCAAAUCCUCAGAGUUCCCACAUCCUCUAGACCAGUCAUUCCUCUACGCAAGGUCAGUCACCACUCACCACGCACCACCACAGGAGAGUGCCAGCAAGCCAAGAUUUUAGGUGUGACAGCCAUUGCCGAGAAGGAACAUGCCCCACAUGGCAAAGUUUUUUAUCUUUUUAUAGUAAAUUAUGAUUUUGAACUAUCUUAUAAAUCUUGUACUGAAUUUGAAGACCAUGAACAGUAAAAAUGACUUGGGCCCAUGAACACCGUAAACAAAAUGAGGGAUCAUUUCUAUACUAUCGAAAAAUAUAUGAUAAGUGUACUAACCUGCUGAAAUAUCAUAUCCAUCUUCUCUCAGUAGCCUGAAGGAAAGUGUUGCAUCUAGUAGAUCAUCACUGUCAACAAGAUUCAAGCACGCAUCCAUGCCAUCAUUGAUCUCGUUUUGGAAAUAGUGGUCGAUGCAGAGGCGCUUGAGGUGAUCAAUAUCAGUCAUCACCUUCCUCUUUUCCUUAUGGUUUUGAUGCAGCAUUUCCUUAACACUCUUCAGGCCCUCCUGUUAUUCCAUGGAGAGAGAAAAAAAAUUAAAAUGCAAAAAUGGGAGAUAUGGGAGACUUUAUGUUUCACUUUGCGAGGCUAAUUCUUCUAUUCAUCAAAGGGGAAAAAACAGGCUACUUUCCUAUCUUCUCCAAGGCUUAUAGCAGCGCAGUUAGUCAGUUCUUUUCCGAGUAAUUCAGUUAGUCAGAAAUUUAAAUGGUUAGAAAAAAUAUAUCUAAUUCAAUAACAAGCCUUAAAGUCACAUUGGAGAACUGAUGGUGAUGUGAAUAAAUUUCUACCAAGAAUAAAAGCUCUCAGUUCAUCUUGGUAGUCCAGAUAAAUAGGGGGUGUCUGCUAAGUCCAGAUGAGACGUGCGGAGGCUGGUUAAGCCGGAGAAAUAGAAAAACUAGGGCGUUUGAGCGCCAGGGGUACGCGGCUAAGUUUUUUUUACCGGAGCUGGGAGCUACCUGUGGAGAAUCUACCAUUCACUUGGUUUCUCUGAGAUUCGUGCCAGCCUUUUGUGUAUAAAGUAAAAAUAAUUUGCUAUGCAAUACAGACAUUAGACAAAGGAAUACAUCUAUGCAUGUGAGAUGUGUGACAACUUUUGAUGUGACAGGACUGGGUGACUGAUGAAGAGGACGGCGCAUGGGUUCUCUGCCCCAAACAAAAUAGUUGCAUUUUAUUUCCUGGUCAUAUUUUGAAUGGUUAAUAACUAUGAACCAAAUUUCAGUAAUUGAAUUUUUUUUGUACAUUUGAAGUCAGGGUGAUAAGACCUUUAAAACAAGACCGGUCUUGAAUACAAUUUGGCUAGAUUGAAUUUUACUGUUUCAAUUAGUUUCACAUUGCAAAAAGUACGAUUUUAUUCAUUUCAAUAAACAGAGUUUACUCAUUCCAAAAAAAAUAUUUCACUACUUUGAAAAUACAGAUUUCACUCAUUUACAAAUUGAUUUCAUAUAUAUAUCAAUAAGCUGGUAUAUAAUUUUUCAGAAAUAUAAUAUUUCAAGAAACUAAUUUCAGAAAACAUAUUACGCUCACUCAAUUGAAAUACUAUAUUUCACUUGUUUCAAAAAAGUGAUUUCACUCAUUACAAAAGAUAGAUUUCACUCAUUUUAGUAGUUUCAGAAAACUACUACACUCACAAUAUACACACUGAAAUAAGCGGUUUCCCUGAUUUCACUCAUUUGAAAGUACAAUUUUUGCUUGUUUCAUUUGAAAAGAAGUGCUUGAAUUAUUUCACUCAUUUUAGAGGACCGAUUUCAGUCCUUAUAAAAGAUUGAUUUUCAAUCGUUUUGACUUAAAAUAUAUGUUUCAAUUCCUUGAAAUGAUUUAUAUCUAUGAACUUAUGAAUUUUAUUUUUUGGACUAAGUGAAAUCUAUAAAACGAGAUAUUUUUUUGAGAAUGUGAAACACCUUAUUUUUAAAUCUAGUUGAAAAAUAUUCAAUAUUGAACUUGUUCUGUAUAUCAUGUUGCAAGGAAUUUGAAUAUAUAUAAAAAAUUCAGUAAUGGAUUUUUGUGAAAGACAGUGACCAUCUAAAAUUGUAAGCAAAAAUAAAAAGAUGCAUUUGUUUGAAAGGGCAGAGAGAGGAAAGAAGUUGCAUGCAUGCGUACGGUAUGCUGACAGAAGUAGUACCUGUAGCUGACAUACUAGUGCAAAGUGGUGAAAAGAGGUGGGCCAGCCAUCUGACAUACAACAGUGUUAUACAAGAGGUGGGUUAUGAAAAUAAAAAUGCUAUACUAGAGGUGGGCCACAUAAAUGCACGAAACGCAAACAAGACGAACGAUGGAUGCAUGGUUUGCCGGUACCUCCAGGAACCGGUAAAAAGAGGUUUGCGCGGGGGUACAUCGCCCCAAAAAAUUUCUCUUGUCUCGUGCACUUAUUCUUCUACCUUCGUAUAGGGUUAGACCCAACAGCCCAAACUUCGCGUGCCCAUGGCCACGAGGAACGAGGACGGCCGCGCGUUGCUGAUGGCCAGGAGGGGGGACUCGAUAUGGAGGAGAGGGAGGGAGGACGAGGAGACCGCAUAAGGCGCUGGAUUUGAGAGAGGAGAGAUUUUGGGGAGAUGAGACGGGAGAAUGGAUUUGUGUGAUUUGGAAGAGUCGAGGAGAAAGUGAGGGGAGAACAAAGAAUAGAAACCAAGGGGGAGAUAUUUUCUUUUUCUUUUUUUUAAAUCAAGAUAUUCUCUUUCUACUGGUGAUAAGGGCAUCUUCAACGGUGAACGCUUGUUGAGGCUUUUACAUGAUAGGAAAUGUACGGGAAAUGAUUGGGAUCAGCCGACGGAUAACGACGCGUGUGAUCCACCGCCACUGUGGCCGUUAGAUCAGGUUUUAAUCAGAUGGCUAGAAGCAACGUAUUACCUAGACUAGUUUUUGCAACUAAAGUCGUUCUUGCAAUCUCCCCCGCCGCAAAAACUGUUGUGUUGUGGGAUCUGGAUCCCCUCGACAUUGGCCACCACCCGUGCACCUCGCAAGAUCCCCAUCAAGCCAACUCUGUCUCGUGCUGCUUCGACCGCCGUCAUCGACGUUCGCCACCGGCAGCAUGCCGACAAGGUCGCGGGCGUGACCGCAGCCGUUGCCGCCCACCUCCACCAUGAAUGUUGGACGUCCUGGUGCGCCCGAACUCAAGCUGCAUCCCGCCGCCCAGUGGGAGCACCAGCAUCUGUGUCCUUGGGGGGGAGUUACGUCCACCUUCGCCCCACCGUCCCGAAGGAGCACCAGCCUUUCCUUAGGUCGACAUGGUCGAUGCUCUCUACAACCAGUUUCAGCAAUAAGGUAUGUUGCAAAAAAAAACUGUAACAAGACCUAUGUUGCAAAAUAAAUAGAUUUCAACAAGACCUUUGUUCCAAAAAAAAAUGCAACAAGACAUCUGUUGCAAAAAAACUGUAACAAGACAUAUGUUGCAAAAAAUAAUCGGCAACUUGAGCUAUGUUACAAAAAUUUCCGUAACAUAACCCCAACACGACAUGUGUUGCAAUGGUAGAAGGUUAAUCUUGGGCGCUCCAGAUUUGACGGCUCGUAAGGCGGCAGAUCUUUUAAAAAGAUCCAUGGGCCGACUGUGUAGGGUGUCCAUCCCUCCAACGCCAAUAGCAAUCUAUAGAUGGCCCAUGAUUUAUGAAAAAAGAAAAAAAGAAAACAGAAGCGCUCGAUGCCUUGCGCGGCAUUGACGCAAGCGAGAUUCCCUGUCUAGGGUGGGAAUCGGGCAUAACUGCCGGGAAAUCAACCUUGGUGUCGAUCGUUAGCAUCCGCGUUGUAAAUGCCCUAGGAGGAUGGAUUUGACCCUAAAGAAAGAUGGAUUUGGAUUUGGUUCCAGAUGUUACAAAUUUCUGUUUGGAAAUUCGGGGCCGCUCCAAUAUCCGAAAUUUGAAAAGAGUUUCAGAAAACAUAAUUCAAAAGAAUAAAAUAUGACCAAAAUCCAGUAGAGUUUUUGAAAACCGUGCAUCUUUGGUAAAAUGAAUCAUGUUCAUUGGAAGGGUCAACUUUCCAAGGGGCGUGCUAUUUGGCGGGCGCCCGCCAAAUUCCAUACUCAGCGGCCAAUCAAGUUUAGAAGUGAAUUUUUUCUUCAAAAAAAGUUUAGAAGUGUUUUUUGUUUAUUAUUGAAAUAAUAAUUGACAGAAAUAAAAGUAUUUUGGUUGUUUUUCUGUGAGGAAAUUUUGGUUGGGCUUCAUAGAUUCGCUAGUAAAAUCCUUCCAAAUAACAACCGUGUAAGCGAUAGUCUGGUUGCAUACCCCUUCGCUCUUGUACGCCAGGGCACCCUAUGCGCCUCCGUCGAUCGAUCUCGUGGUCUUAGUUCCAAGGAAGCGCGGUGGAUCUCGGCAGUUGCCGGCGGGAGGGCUUUGUUUUCAGAUGGUUUUUUAGUUUUGUUAGGCUUUGUGUACUACUCGGAGAGGGGAGGCGACGGCUCUCAGAAGAUGGAAUAAGGUCCUCCCAGCCUAACCCUCAUCUGGGUGGUGUUUCUAGCAUCAUCGAAGGGCAUGUGAAGGUUUCUCUCUGGCGGAUCUCAUGGGAUUAAGUCGGUGUUUGUCUUCCUGGAUCCACGUGGAUACGAUCUUCAUUCGUUUGUGUUCAUGUGCCUGCAAGUUGGAUCCUUCUGAUCUACACAUCUCUUCAUCGGCGGCGGUUGUUGACCUAGUGCGCUGGUCCAGUGGGGCUUUAUCAUGACGACUUCCCGACUGUCUACUACAACAAGAUUUGUCUGCCUCCCAUGAGGGAGGGGCGAUGACGGCGGCAUGCCUUCGGCUUGUUCCAGUGCAUGUAGUCGUCGCUAGGUGGUCUACGAACCUGGGUGUACUUUUUACUUCUAGUACUAUGUACUACGUUAACAGUUCAUGAAUAGAUUGAAAGUUUUUCACGCAAGAAAACCGUGUAAAAAAACAAAGUAUUGCAACCAGCGGCAGCUAGUAAUUUUUCUUAUUUUAGCAUAUAUGUAGUCUCUCUGUUCACGGAUAUAAGAUGUUUGAACUUUUACUGAGUCGGGUGUAUAUAGACAUCAGGGACGGGCCCAUAGUUGUGCGGGACUGUAUGGCCCACACAGGGCCCAUAGAUUUUGGGGGGCCCAAAUUGGUAUAAGGCCUAUGUAUAUUUUCUUCCUGCCGCGUCCAAGCGGCCUGCUCGAUGCCCCCCAAACGGGAUCCAUCGCAUCCUAUCCAGAGCUGGAGUUCCUAUGCGCCGCUCGUUGCGUGAAAAAUCCCCAAAAAGUCUGCUCGAGGGAGGGAUCAAACCAGGGACCUCCUGUUGCUUAUGCGCGAGCCUAGCCAACGGGAUAGAUGAGCUUCUUCGUGUACUAUGGCGUGUGAAGCUAAUGGUAAUAUAGAUCCGAGCAUUUUGUCAAAUUCUGAAGGCGAACAUUAUUUUGGAAAUAUGUUUUUUCAAAGGGACCACUUUUCAACUUUGAGAAGAAGAAAAAAAGCUCGAACAUUUCUUGAUAAACUGAACACUUUUUUGAAAAUGGCGAACAUUAUUGAAUAUGUGAAUAAAUUCUCAUUAAAGGCGACAUUUUUUGAAACUCUGGACAAUAAUUUGGAAACACGAAUAGUUUUGGAAUCGGUCAACAAUUUUUGAAACAAGAACAUUUUUUCAAACUCAGGACAAAAUUUGAAAAUGAAAACAUUUUAUAAAAUUCGAACAUUUUUUAAAAUUUUGAACAUUUUUUUAGAAAUAUGAACAGUUUAUCAAAUCAAGAAUGUUUUUUAGAACUCUGAUAUAUUCUAAAAAGGAAAAAGGAACAGGAGAAAAUAAGCAGAAAAACGAGAAAAGAAGAUGAACAUUUUUCAAAUUCGUUAGCAUUUUUUAAAAAGUCGAACAUUUUUUGAAAUUCCCAAACAAAAUUAGAAACAGACACAUUCUUGAAAGUUACGAACAAAAUUUGAAAUAGAAACAAUUUUUGAAACAACCAAAUAAAAUUGGAAAACAUGAACAUUUUUCUCAAAUUUGCGAAUGAAUUUUGAAAGAGGAACAUUUUUUACGAACUCCUAAACAAAACUUGAAAAUAUGAACAUUUUUUGAAUUUUGUGAACAAAAUUUUAGAACUAUGAAUAUUUUGAAUUUGUGAACAAAAUUUGGUAAGUAGAAUAAAAUUUUGAAAGAAAGGAAUUUCGAUAGCAUGAGCAGUUUUUAAAAUUGAAGAAUUUUUUUGAAAAUUUAGAACCUUUUUAAAAAUCUCAAACGUUUGGAAAUUCAAACAUUUUUUCAAUACAUGAACAAUAUUUUGAAAACCGGAACACAUUUUUUAAACUUUGAACAUAUUUUUUGAUAAGCGAACAAUUUUUUUAACUUCAAAAAUUUUUGUAAAGAACGAAUAGUUUUUACAUGCAGACAAAAUUUUAAUAGUUUGAAUAUUUUUAAAAUUAUGAAAAAUGAAAAACUGAAGAGGAGGAAAAAUAAAGAAAAGAAACAGAAAGAAAAGGAUGAAAAAAGAAAACUUGUAAAGGUAGAAAAGGAAAAGAUAGAGAAGAAAUAAUAAACAGGAAAAAGGAAAAAAAAGACGAAACAGAAACAGAAAAAAAGUGUUAGGAAGCUUCUAGAAGGUUCCCAAAACCGGAAAAAACGGCUGGGAACAAGCGAGAAGGUUCCUAAAACCGGAACAUCGAAACAUUUUACAGGCCGGCCCACGCGCGAACCCUCGAUCGAUCUCCCUGUGCGUCCGCCGGACAACUUGCGGCAGCGAGCGGCAUUCCAUCCAGAGGCAGCCAACGAUUGCCGCCCUCAAAAGAUUCAGCGUAGCGCUGGGUUUUUUUCCGCACUAAUUAUGUGUUGUACUAUGGCAGAAGAUAUAAUUACUUUAUGCCCAGCCAUAAUUACCUUCAUGUGCUGUGUACUGAAGCCCAAAACAGCCCACGCGCAUUAUCCUGUAUUUAGGCCACUGUGGUAAACUGUACUUUCAUUUGUAUGUUUGGCUUGUCUAAAAAAAAUUGUAUGUUUUCCAAGACCUAGCGUCCAUCUAUUCCGCGCCGCCGUCGCUGCCCUGUCGGUUGCCUUGUGAGUUGCCGGAUGCCACCUACACACCGCCGUCAUGGUUCGUCCAUCCUACACUGGCAGCAGUGCGGUGCGAGUAUUCAGUCCGCAGAUCACUGUAUUGUAUUGGCGUAUCCGUUUCUUGAGCAGUUAGAUCUAUAGGUAUGUAUUAAGUACUAGUUUUUAUUAUGUUGGUGGAUUUCAAUCCAGUAUUCUAGUGAUCUCGUUUACUUGCAUAUAAGACAACAGGUUAAUUCACAAAUUAGGUGUGUCGCUUUUCCAUAGUAGAUGACUUUGAUUAAUUUGGCAAAUCACAUGAUCACUUAACCCAAAUGAAAUUGCUGCAAUAGACCCCAUGGUCUAAAGUCAAUCUAAUAAUAAAGAUUCACAAGGAUCAUUUUCCGUGAAGUUUUAUCUAUUGCGUGGUCAUUCUCUUCCCUCAACCCCUUCAUGUUUAAAUCCUGGCUCCACUUCUGCGCUUGAGAGCAAAGUGUUGAAGAAGAUUAAUUACAAGGAUAUCAUUGAACAUUUCAUUUCAAAGAAUACUAAAAGAAUGACUUGUUCAAAUAAAUAUCAGGCAACCGGGAGUUGAAUAGGUAUGCUUUUUUACACAUCCAAUUGCUAUGUAAGACAUUAUAUCAUAUACGUUAUAUUGCUCAUUAGUUUAUUUUAGUGAGAUGGGGCCCCAUUUUUUAGUUUCGCACAGGGCUCUGGAUUUUGCCGACCCAGCCUUGAUAGACAUGUUCUAAUGUGUUUGUUCAGUCAUUUUAGUCUGUACAUAGUAAUAUUAAAAUAUCCAGAACAUCUCUUAUAUUUAUGAAGCGAGUGAGUACUAGUUAUGUAAUGUGUCUAUUACCGGUGCUCGAGUGUCUGAGUGUUAACUUGGAACCCACUAAGAUGAAUUUCUAGACCCGUCGCUUAUUGCAACGUUAGAUUGAAUCAAUAGAUAAUGAUAUUCUUCUCGCCUAGCUCAUCACCGAGACAUUCGAUUUAAAUAAUCUUGUAUCCUUAUUAUUGGCACAAACGCAAUCAGAAGUUUCUUUCUCUUUGGGUCGCGCUAACUGCCACACGUGUGGCAGGAAGGAAGACGCACCACACGUCUCUAAUGUAAACAGAUUGCCACGUCAUCGCAUGCAUGCAUGCAGGAAUUUUUUUGGAUUUUCAGUUUUUAAAAUGUUUUAUCUCUUAAACGAAAAAUCCGAUUGAAAAUCCGUUUUCACCAUUAAAUCCCUCGCGAUGAGAUCUUCGAAACUAGAUCCAAUGUUGAUAUGUUUUAAUGAAUUUUUUUUUGGAUUAAAAGUUGCCAUGUCUAUUGCAUAUGAAUUGUCAUGAUGUUUACACUGAAGUUGCCAUGAUAUGUUUCAGCUCUUUUCUUCUACAUUUAAAAGUAAAUUUUGACAUUUAUAAAACGGGGAAUUAAGAAACUAGACUUGCCAUGAACCAUAAACUAAAAUUGCCAUGAUACAUGCACGUAAAAUUGCCAUGGUUCAUACAAAAAAUAAUUUUCAUGGUCAAAGUACUAGAGUUGCCAUCAUCAAAAUACUAAAAUUGCCAUGAUCUACAAACUAAAAUUGCCACAUGGCAACUUUAGUUUAAGCCCUAUGGCAACUGCAGUGUAAACAUCGUGGCAACUUCUGACAAAAAAAAAAUCAUCGAAACAUAUCAACAUGGGGUCUAGUUUUGAAGAUCUCGUCGAGACGGAUUUAAUGGUGAAAACGGAUUUUUAGUUCGCUUUUUUAUUUAGAAGAUACAACAUUUUUAAGCCGAAAACCAAAAAAAAUUCUGCUGAUGUCAUCUAUUCAUACGUGGCAAAAUGAGUGGUGAUGGAGGCGUGUGGGCGAUGUGCAAACGCCCACACGUGUGGGCGUUAACAUUUUCGUUUUCUUUCUGUCACCAAAAUACUUCACUUACUGAGGGUUUUCUAUCCUGCUCCCUCUUAUUUUCCAUUUUCACAUGAAAGAUACGAGUAUAAAAUAGAUCUAAGCCGUUGAUUGUACUAAAUAGUGGGUUUGAUUAACUCUUAACUUCUUACCUUCCGUGUGAAAAGAGAGGUUUUUUAACAUGCUCCUCUUACUCUCUGUCUCCGUGCAUGUUAAAAUUGCUCUUAUAAAGAUUUACAAGACGACGUGCGAGUCGAGUCGAGCACCUCACCUGGAAGUCAAAACCAUCGGCCAUCGCGUGGGAGUCCCGGGUAGGGCUCGUCACCAUGCAAGGGCGGAAGGAUCGACGUCGCCGGCCGCCAACUCCGGCCACCGGCGAGGCUGAGAACAGCGGUGGCUCGACGGAGGAGAAGACGUGCGCCGCCAUCAGUCAGUUGCGACUAUCACCUCUGUAACCACACAACUGUUGGCUAAGGAGCAAGUGAGCAACUACCGUACUUGUCAAGCCGCCACGAACAAAUACAUAUAGGCAGCGACGAACAUUUAUAUUACUGCGCCGACGUACACACACGCAGGAUGUCUGGCCAGAAAAGGAGGUAGGAUUUUUUUUGCCGACCUUGCGCUGAAACUUCUCCACGUCCCUGGAUCUAAAUGACUAGGGUGAUUCGUAGCCUCCUUUCCCAUACAAAUGUUGUGGCGCCUACGGGGUAAAGCAGCAGCCAUAUAUAUCUGUGCUAGGUUGGAAGAGUGCUCACUAGAAGAGAGCUACGUCGUUGUUGCUACUAUAGAUUGCGCCCGCCCUGAAAUCUCAAUGACCGGGAUGGGUUUCAUACGGAAUCUGGGACGAAAUCUGCAAGUGGAGAGGAAGAGAUUUCGACAACAUAAUUUUUUCCAACUUCACAGAAAUGUACGUGCAUUUUUUAGGAAUGUUAGUUCAAACAUUUUAACAAAAAUGUGUGUACGACUAAAAAAGGUGUUCACGUGUAUGUAAAAAAAUGCCAUGUAGAAUAAAAAUGUUCAGUAUUUUUAUUAAAUGUUCAUGUAAUUAAGAUGUGUUCAUCUAUUCUGAAUAAAAUACAUGUACUUUUAAAGAAAUGUUCACAUAUUUUAAAAAGUGUUCAUAUACUUUCAAAACAUGUUCAUGCAUUUCCUGUGAAAGCGAUCAUGUUAUUAAUGAAAGCAUUCGUCCAUUUGAGAAAUUAUUCAUGUAAUUAAACAAGUUUUCCACCCAUUUGAAAAGUCUUCAUGUAAUUUUAAAAUAGUGUAAUAUUCAUGUAUUUUUUUAAACCCAUAUUUUUUUAAUAUCUUAGUAUAUUUUUAAAACAAAACAUGAAACUUAAAAUAGAAGAGAAAAAGGACAAACAAACAAGAAAAUAAAAAGGAAUAAAACACAAAACAAAAAAGAAACAUGAAAAAAGGAAAAACCCAACACAAACCAGCACAAAAAAACCCGACAAAAGAAAAUAGGAAAAAACAACUGAAACCAGUCCGGUCCACACCCCCACAGCUGGGUCUGGUCCCUACCUUCGCCCAAAUUUUUAUGGCCAGCGAUUUUGCUCGGCAGGUUCAUUAAUGAAAUGAAGUGUUUCGAGCUAAAAAAAACGGUGAUCCAUAAUUUUUUCUUCCACGUUCGUCCGUGGACAGGGGGACCAGUCCGCGUACACGAAUGCGAGAGGCCGUCAUUCAACGCUAUCCUAUAUAUGUCCGCCAGUAAAAGGUAAUUUGAAAUUCAAAUUUAGUUUGAUCCACACAGUGUGUCACAUCACACCAGCGCCAGAUCGCAUGCUCUAUCACAGCCAAAAAGAGACAAGUAUGCUUAGUUUUUACAUGCCGAAUCCAAAAAAAUAUCAGUCUGACAAUCAGUGCAAUUUUUCAUAAAAUGGUGUGUGUGUGGCGCUAUCGGCAAGGCACGUUUCCUCCGUUCGGGCACCACAUGCGUUCUAAAAUAUAACAUCUAACUAAUGUAAUGAGGAACAAGCUACAUUAAUAAUAAAUGCACACAUUUCGGAACAUGACAUACUCCCUCCGUCUCAGUUUACAAGUCCUACGCGUAUACCUAGGUUACCAUUUUUAUCACCCUAAUAUAAACUAUAUAACACAAAAAUUAUACGGUUUGAAAAUAGAACAUCUGAAUUUUAUAUUAAUAUAUUUUUUAUAAUAUAUGAUUUAUAUUAGGUUGGUCAAAUUGACGACCUAGGGGUACGCGCACGCCCUUUAAACUGAGAGAGAGGGAGUACUAUCAUGGAUAAAUAAUGAAAUAAAUGAAUGACAUAAAUGUCAUCCAAUCGCCAAUGUAAAGAAUAUGCUCUCAUGGAGCUUACAACCAAAUCGAGUUUACUCGAAUUUAUUGUAUGAAAUCAUGGAAUCAUGAUAACUAACGAGGUAAGCUAUAUAAACGAGUAUUUAUAUAGGGGCAGGGGUCAAGAGAUAAAUACUCAUUUAACGUAAAGUGUGGAACCAGAAGGGGCUAAGCCGUGCGCAUCGCACGUGUCCGCCGCCACCCUCGUGGUGGACCCGGUUUCCCAACAAGUGUGUGUGCGCGCGUAGUGGCGCCGAGCAUUGUGGCUGGCUUUUGUGAGUGUGUGCAUUGGAGCUAGCUUGGGUUAAAAAAGCCCCCGUGUACUCGUUGUAAGUGCGUCGGUAUGAGCCAUGCCACGGUGCGUUGCCGAGCCCGGGUAUGUGCCCAGUAAAUUGACGCCGUUCGUGUGAUGUGGCGUUUGUGCGCCGGAAAUAUUUGUGUCCCUCUUCUUUUCCACCUAUGUCCGAGCGAGUGUGAGAGCGAGGUAGUCCGGUUUGUCCCAACACAGCCAGCAAGACGGCCACUAGCUGCUAGCGGCUUAGAUGUACUAAAAUGACAUUGUCGCCUCUUCAUGGUGAAAUCAUUAAUUUCCUUGUAAACACUAACAAUUGGCAUCACCUUUGUGUUAUUUGUAUUAGUUGGCGUGCAUCAACACAAUCGUGGGCCUAAGCCCAGGCCCAUGACUCCCUACCUGGCAGUCUAUAUAAUGCAAGAGUUGGCCAGUGUAGUUGAUAGACACACUCUCUCCUCGCGUAACCCUAUCCGUCAUCUAAAUGUACCUUUCAGUGUGCUGCUUCUGGCGAUCCCAUCCCGACAACCGCAUGCACAGUUGGCCAAGAGAUCCCAUCCUGACAACCGCAUGCACAGUUGGCCAAGAGAGCGGGUGCCCUCGAAACCACGUCCUUCGAGAUCCUACCCGGGAGAAGGGCCAUAAGGUUUUUGGGGAGCGUCUCUGUCCUCCUCUACUUCAACUACUUUCCCUGCAUGAUCCCAUGGCGAACGAUGACAAAGCCGCCAAGAAGAAAGCCACGGACGACGUCAAGGUUGUUGCUGUCGCUGCCUGGCCAACCAAAGAGUAUGACUUGUUCAUCCCCUACUAACUCGUUCAUCUGCUAGCCAUAUAUGUCCUGUACAUAGAUGUUUUGUUCUUUGUGUUAUACAUGCUCACAUGUUUAGCUAUCACCUAUCGGUAUGAGUUGCAUACUGUGAAUCAUAUGCUUACUGUUAACUCGUGAACUAGAUUAAUCGAAAAGGUGGUGCUAAUAUUUCCAACAUAUUUGAUUUGAUUUCCUAGCAUGCAUCCAGUAUUGCAGAUGCGAACGCGUACUGCAAAUCUGAGAAAGUCUACGCAACUCUAUUUCAUUAUAUGCAAGUCACGCGUGCAUACGGAACCUGAAAAGGGCAGUGAAGCUUUGUUGGUGGCCAGAGGUGAUAAAAUGCAUCUGUCCCUCAAGCAGGCUCAGAAAAAAUCAGCUCUACUAAAUGAUACAGAUUUUCUUACUGGCAUGCAAUGCCAAACUCGAGAAGCAGCUAAAUAAAUGUAGCAGCAACAGAACGUGCUAAUGCGAGGCGGGCGAAGGUUCUAUCUUCCCGGUACAGCCUAAGAUUAUUUCACUUCACCUUUGAACCACUUUCCAAUACAGACGAAGUCACCACCAACGAAUUUCGACAGAACUAAGUUGGAACCGAUUUCACCGAGCAUCUUAACCACCAUCUUCUGCUACCGCCUAGCUAAACUGGUGGUCCACUGGCAUCCCAGCGUUUUUACCCCUGGCAUGGGGUGGGUUUAUAUACACAAUCUGGGCUGUGAAACAACAGGAACCAGGAUUCAUCGUUUUACAAGGUGGACGUGAGCUUGCAACUGUGCGAGGAAAUUCAGCCAUGCCUGAUGGACCAACCCAGCAUUUCCCCUGCCAUCGUCGUAAGUGCGAGAAGAGCUAGUUGGAUGGAGGUCCAGAUCCACCCAUGCGCCUCCUGAGCCGGCCCCGAGUCAACCGAAUAGCCUCCUGGAUGAGCGUCUCCUCGUCUUCAGGCAUUGUUGGGCGGGGUGGCACGUUGCUUGUCGAAGGCCCAGAUUGAUCAACCAGCAUGUCUUCACUCUUUGGGGGGCUGUUGCCGGCGACAGGGCCAGGACAGGAAGGUGUUUGUUGCUGCACAGGAGGCACUGCGCCAGGAGGGGCAACUGGAACUGGGCCUUUAUCUUGCACCUGCAUCCUUGGUGGAGUAGGAGGAACUUGGGCGGCCUGUGGCGGCAUCGGUGGUGCCGUUGGUGCGGGAACAGGUGGUGGUGCAGGAUUCGCCAUCCGAGUCCGUGGAGGUGGUGGACGCUGCUGCUGUUGCUGUGCCUGUAUAGAGAGACAGUAAAGUAAGUACAUGAGACAUAUACAGCUGACACUGACACACACACGCACAAGCACACAAUACUAGGUAAGUUAAUGAGUUCUAAAAAACCAUCUGACUCUGAAUCCUGCAACUGGUAAACAGAAAGCCCAUGCUGCACUCUCGACAAAUGCACACAGAACUUCUGUACAUGAAUAAUCCUAACCCUUCCUAACAAAUGGUAUGACGAAAUGGUGCAGCAGUUAUCACAUUCCAAUAUGGAAAUUAUAUAUUAUACGUGCUUCUCAGGUUACUAACUCUAACAAAGGAUGUAACAAGAAUGGAAGUGCUAUUCAUGCAAGGUGAUACAAACUAUGUGGAACUAUAGAUCAAACUUUGCUAGAAGUACCAGAGGUAUGGAGCAAAACUAAAUUGCAGGUCGUCAACUUGAUCACUGUCAGUACACGAUCAAAUAUCUAUGUUGUCUUUAACAAGAUAUGUAAAGCAUCAAGCAUGACAAGGUAAUUCUAGACAAGUUUGCUUUUGUAUGUGUGCCCAAACAAAUAAGAGCUAAGCAACCUAGAGGUCGAGGACACCAUGAAUAAUCCUAUUGUGAUAAUUCUUGCAAGAAAAUUGGUACAGGAGUAUGGUAGAUGAAUGGCAUGAUACUACAAAAUCAUUGCUAGCUAAUUUUGUCCACGCAAAUGCCACAAUUAACCACAACUCAGGCUCCUAAGCUGUAAAAUAAACCAGAGAAACAAAUGCCAUUUCCUACCAAAUACCAACAGAGAUUACUGAAUAGUGAUAAAUCCAGGUACAAUCGUAAGCCAGUUUGAUUUGGCAGAACAAUUGGGUUUGACUAAACUGCGCCCUAACUGAUGAAAAGAAAAAGGGAUAAUGUUAUAAUGCAACUACAUGGUGAUGAGUUGAUGACAUAGCAGAACUUGUGCGGCACACAAAUUCUUCCAAAGGGUGCGACCAGGACAUACACACAAAUUCUUAGAGUGCACGCAAGGUAGAAUAUUCAACUGAACACUAGGGGGAAAUAUUUCUAGAAUUUCACAAUAUGGUGUGAAAACACUCCAGUAGUAGCGCUCUUAGAAGACCAGAGCAAAUUUCCCAACCUAUCGAUAAUUCACAGAAAUUCUCAGAACUAGGAAAAAUUAGAUGCAUAUUCUCUCUAUUAUAAAUGGAAGGUAAAUGCAUAUGCCAAAAUUUUGGAGCAAUAUAUGAUCUCUGAGCGUCAUACUAUAUUUCUUUUACCCAAACAUAGGAGUAUUAUUUAACUCCAAUUGUAACUACAAAAAAAAAUCAGUAAACACCACUCGUAGACGAGAGGCUGAAUGUAAAAAGAAGUGUUGCAUAAAGGAACAUAGAAAUGGGUAUUAUUCAUGUUUUUCUAACUUCCACUAGAAAUCAGGGAAUCAAUGUGAAUUUAAGAUCAUUUUAACAUUUAAAAAAAACAUGUGGUGGUAGGAUGCAAUACAUACAUCGUUAUCAAUACAACAUGUGAAUAAAUUCAUGGCCUAGCAUUUAAAAUUCUACUCCAGCCUACAACAUUGGGCUCAAAUAGAAGAAAACCUAAAUAGCACUACCAUUAUGGAACAAGCCACCAGAUUAUAUCAUAUACUCCCUCCGUCCCAUAAUUCUUGUCUUAGAUUUGUCUAAAUACGGAUGUAUCAAGUCACGUUUUAGUAUUAGAUACAUCCGUAUCUAGACAAAUCUAAGACAAGAAUUUUGGGACGGAGGGAGUACAAACUAUAGAAGUUCAGUCAUCAUAUAGUGGGUAGUGUUACACUUCUCGCUAAAAUAGACAUCAUAGCAGUACAAAAUGACUGUCACACAAGCUUUAAAGUUUUGAAAGUACCUGAGAACGAGAUCCUUGUGAUUGAGAAGCAAUAUAUUGCAAGAUUUCAUGGAACCUUGACUGGCUGUAGUCUGCAACCUUGUGGAAGUAAGUAACAGCAAUAUCACUAGCCCUUGUCCUCAACUCAAGAAGAUUGCGAUCAAUCUCAGAUUCGUGUUUUGCGAUAUAAGGCUUGAAGAACGACUCAUAGACAUAUGAAGUCCCCUGGAAUAACCCUUUGUUAGAGACAAGCCAUAAGACAUAACAUGUUAUGGCAACACAAAAAGCAGGAAACAAAACCUGUGUCUUAGGAUACCACAAAUACACAAUAAAAGCCAGCUUUGCUUCACUAUACAUUGGCAACCUGUAUGAAAAUGGAACUAUCAACCAUCAAGCAGAUGAAGUCCCCCAACUGUAAUCACCCAAAAUCCGAAUUCAAAUGAGUCACAUUACCAUGAUAUGAAAUUAUCCCCAACUCUCUCGAAAACAGUAAGCAUUGCAAGUAAAAUCCUGCAAAACCAUGGUCAUGCAUGUGAGACCAAGCAAAAACAAAGAAUGAUAGCCCAAAAUAAAAUGGAAGGACGUCAAAGACAUACCAGUACUGACACCAGAACCGCAACUGCUCAAUCUCAGGCCUAUUCAGCUCCACUGUCUUGUAACAAUCAUAAGCUGGAUAUGCAUAUCCAAGAACAAGUCUGCAAAACGGAUAAAUAGCAGAAACAUUGUGGGUGUAAACAAGAAUCACACCAUUGCUGUGAUUAAAUAAGAACUGAAUUGCUGCUUACAUUAAAGCUCUGGUGAUGAAUGAUCCGACAACCAUCUUGACCCCUACACCACAGAAACAUCAAUUACAUAUGUUGUCAAUUGCCAAAAGCAAGAUAGAUAAAUGUCCUAUGAGGGUCAAAUAUAUAACAGGCUAGCAGUCAUUAUGCUAUAUACUUCCGCAAGCUCCUUCACAUCAGCAAAACAGAACACAAAAAGAUGGAAAUAGGCACCGCAUGCUAGAUUAAGCCUUUAUCUUGCUGAUUACUUCAGCCAUCACACAUCUAGAAAGCCUUAUCCAAUCAUACUAGCACCAUAAAGUCAUACUCCCUCCGUUUUGAAAUAAUUGUCUUUCUAGAGAUUUCAACAAGUGACUACAUACGAAGCAAAAUGAGUGAAUCUACACUCUAAAACAUGUCUACAUACAUCCGUAUGUUGUAGUCUAUUUGAGAUGGCUAGAAAGACAAUUAUUUCGGAACGGAGGGAGUAGGUGAUACCAAACCAUUUGGCUAGAGUUCGAUUUUGUUAUAACAAACAGGGGCUACGCAGAGUAGGGGAAACCUAACGACUGCCUGUCCUGGCAAGAACAAACAAAACUUCUGUUAAAGUUGGGUCUAGAUAAGAACAGGGGGUGCAUCAAGCAUCAUAAGUUCAUAUCAGUCCAUUUUGCUAGAUUUCGAUUUUGUUACAGCAAGCACUGCACGGAAUAGGAGGAAAUCCAAACAAUUACAUAUUCCCAGUCAGACCAAACAAUUUACUGUUACAUUUUGGCUUUAGUAUAUGAUAGCAGAAGGUACACCUCCUCUGCCCUAAGAAAAUGACCAAGCAAAUCAAUCCGAACAUGAACUGGGAGGCAAAUUGAAUGGAGGGACCCGAUACAGAUCGAUUCAAAGGAGCAGCCAAAAGUACACCUAUGCUCUCAGAAGAAGACCAACCAAAUUAAUCUAAACAUGAACUGGGAAGCAAAACAUAAAAAGAUGAAAAUAGGUACUGCAUGCUAGAUUAAGCCUUUAUCUUGCUGAUUACUUCAGCUAUCGAACAUCCAGAAAGCGGCAUCCAAACAUGCUAGCACCAUAAGUUCAUAGGUGACACCAAACCAUUUUGCUAUAGUUCGAUUUUGUUAUAACAGAGGCUACACAGAGUAGGGGAAACCUAACGACCACCUGUUCUGGCCAGACCAAACAAAAUUUCUGUUGAAGUUGGGAAAUUUCCAACAACAAAAUUGAUAAAUGUCCUAUGAGGUCAAAUCUAUAACAGGUUAGCAGCCAUUAUUAUGCCACAGCCUUCCACAAGCUCCUUCACAUCAGCAAAACAGAACACAAAAGGAUGGAAAUAGGCACUGCAUGCCAGAUCAAGCCUUUAUCAUGCUAAUUAAUUCAGCCACCACACGCCUAGAAAGCAUUAUCCAAUCAUGUAUUCAUGUUAACAGCAUAAGUUCAUAGGUGAUACCAAACCAUUUUGCGGAGUUCAAUUUUGUUAUAACAGAGGCUACACUGAAAAGGGGAAACCUAACAACUACCUGUUCUGGCCAGACCAAACAAAAUUUCUGUUAAAGUUGGGUCUAGAUAUAUAGAAUAGGGGGUGCAUCAAGCAUCAUAAGUUCAUAUGAGCCCGUUCUGCUAGAGUUUGAUUCUGUCACAACAAAUACUACAGAGAAUAUGGCGAAAUCCAGACAAUUACUUGUUCCCAGUCAGACCAAACAAUUUACUGUUACAUUUCUGCUUUAGUAUAUGACAGCAGAAGGUAAACCUCCUCUGCUCUAAGAAAUGACCAAGCAAAUCAAUCUGAACAUGAACUGGGAGGCAAAUUGAAUGGAGGCACCCGAUACAAAUCAAUUCAAACGAGCAGCCAAAAGUACACCUACGCUCUCAGAAGAAGACCAACCAAAUUAAUCUAAACAUGAACUGGGAAGCAAAAAAUAAAUAAACGGAGGCACCAGGUACAAUAUCAAUUCAAACGAGCAGCCGAAAGCACCUCGCGCAAACCCAACCAGAUCAGCCUCGGCCUAGCGCGAAACCAGAAUCAACACGCCGCAGAGGAACCGCUACAUCAAGCUCGCAAAUCCCUCCAAAUGCGAGCGGCUCGCAAAUCCCUCCAAAUGCGAGCGGCUCGCAACCCCUGGGCGCCACGCCCCGCGCGGUUGCGGCCCCCGAACGGCACCGGAGGAGCAGCGCACCGCAGCGCGGAGAAUCGAACGGGGCACGGGACGCGACAACCGCAGCCUAAUCCAUACCCGAAACAACCAAACAGCGUAUCCGUGGCGUGUGCGGGGAGAAGUUAACCCCCGGCGGAGACGGAACGGGGAGGGGGCGGCGCCGCUGCUGCCGCCCCUACAGAAGGACCAAAUCGAAGCAAAGUGGGGCGGGGAACGAAUACCUUUCCUCCCGCUGCAAGCAACGGGCCGGCAGCGCGAGGUGCUGGCCCUCGGCGGCGGCGACGACGCGGGCUGUUGCCGGAGCAGGGGAGGGAGCCGCGGAAGCUUCCAGGAGGUUCCGGGAGGGAGGGGGCCUCCGUCCCGGGCCGGGUCGGCGGCGAGGCGGCCGAGGGGAGAGGGGGAGGGAAUUCAAAAGAGGGGUUUGCCUUUGGGUUUGGGGAUGGAAAAGGGGCGAGGAAAUCACCGUCAGAAACCGCUACAUAGCGUCCCACGCUCACGGUGGGGCCUACCCGUGUGCUACGCUGAUAGAUGGGCCCAGACGUGGUAUGGUCCCACCUGUCUGCCGGGCUUAGCUUGCUGCUGUCGGCUCGGGUGGGUGGAAGGGGUCGGAGGUGUGCGGCGCCGUUCUGGUCUGCGGGGGUCGGAGGGGUGCCGCGCACGCGUCGGCUCUUGUACCCGUGCGAAGUCGGGUGCGGUGGGCCGCAGUGUCAGUGGGUGGCCUCGGGUGGAUAAGAGCGCGCCGAGGUUAAGUAAAGAAUUGUGCUGUGUUUGGGUGCGAGGGGCAAGGAAUAUGUGCACGCCGGGAGGAGGGGAUGGGAUCCCAGCCCAUCUGACAACCCCCUCUCUCUCUCUCUCUUCGACACGCUUGUCAAGUGUUGCGGCAUCGUUUUGAUUUAACGAUGUGGUAUAUCGUAAAGUUUGAUAAAAAAAAUAUACUCCCCAUCCAUAAUAAGUGUCGCGAUUUUGAACUCAGAUUAGUAGGUGCAUAUACCGUGAUCGCUCCAGCUGCAAAGAGGGAAUAGAUUGUGUGUGGUAUCUCGCAAAAGAAAAUAUACACUACUUAGGGCAUCUCUAACAGAACCACCAUCACACAACUUUUUAAAUGCUCUCUCAAAUUUUAACUCCCCAAAACUGAGAAGUUAAGAUAACGGACAGACUUAACCGAACUUCUAUAUUUAGAGCAUCUCCAAUAGAUGGUCCAAAAUUUGACGGUCCAAAAUUGAAGAUGUAAAAUUUACACCGCCAAAAAGUGCGCUUUGGGGUUCUCAUUGCCUCAAGAUGUUUUUGUUACACUUAGGGCCUGUUCUGAACUUCUCUUGCUUCUCAAAACUUCACAUAUCCAGCUUCUUCUCCUCGCUUCUAACUCCACCUAGCGAUCGCAGGAGCGUUCGGGAGCAUCGACAGCUUCUCCCAGCGCUGCAGCCCAGCUGGGAGGGCUGUGGCCUGUUGGGCCGGCUGGAGGCAGCCAAAUUCGGUCCAACAUGUCAGGUGAGGCGGACUCCGGCGACUCGACGAGGUGAGGAAGAGAGCGCGAAGGGGAGGAGCAGGAAGGGGAAGGGGCGGUGUGGUGCGGGGAGGUGAGCGGCACCGCAGCCGUGGUCAGGCGCCGGAUCCCGCUGUGGUGCCUACGCCCGUGGGCCCGUUUUCGAUGCCUUCCCCGGGCUGCGUCGACGGGAACCGGCGGGGAUUGCCCUGGAACGGCUCGAUCUGUUGCCGGGAAGGAGCGGCGGCCGGCGACGACGCGGCGGCCGGCAACGGCGUGGCGGCGGAUUGGGUCAGCGCCGCUCGAGGGGAACGAGCUGGGGAGAGCUAGCGAUAGGAUUUGGGGGAGGGGAACGAAUCGGUAAGUUUUGCGGUGGCAUACGGCUGUAAUUUGGGCAAACUCCAGUUUCUCUUUUCCGUGGAGCUGGGCCGAGGCAGCUUCGAAUUUUUACACUGCGAUUGGGCUCAGCUUCCCGAAGCGAGCUUCUCGGGGCUUUUCCGUUCGGCUCAGCUCCCGCUCCAGAAUUUUGCAAAGCGUGGAGCGGGAGGACAUCCGAACAGGCCCUUACUGAGCGGAAGGGGGCAUGUGAACCUUUUGGAGAACUUGUUGAGGCUUGGGUACUGAUUGAAGGAAUUCCUCCUAAAUGGUGCACAUGGAAAGUUUUUGCUCAGAUUGCUUCUUUGUUUGGGGUACUGACUGAUGUAGGCUGGAAUGGCAUGUUCAGGACUUUCUUUGAGAAUGUUAGAAUAAAAAUUGCUUGUAGGGACCCCACAAAGAUCCCAUUUGAGAGGCUCAUUGAGAUGAAGAAGAAGUUGUUUUUACUGGGCUUUGCUGCGGAGGGAUUUGAGCAAGUUGGUGGGAUUGACUCUGUUAUUGAUAUUGAGGAUGAUGAAGAAAUAGAAGGAGAAGGUGUCGCUGAGGGACAGGAGGAUGAGGGUGGAAAUGCUUAGAAAGAUGGACUGGAAGACUUACUUGAUAGUGAGGAGGCAAUUGAUGAGCUAGAUAAGGCUAAUAUAGCUAAUCAAAGCAAGAAUAAACAGAAAGGGCCCCAAGCUGACAUGUUCUGUUCUGACUCUGAUCAUGAAACCUUUAUCCUGGAGUGUGUUGCUGCUGAUAAAGAAGAACAUCUUGUAACUGAAAAAGGAACUGAAUCUAAGGAUUUCUGUCCUUCUACUUUGAUGGAAUCCACUCCAUCCAAGCCACUAGUAAGGAUUGCUGAGGGGAUCACCAGUUCUGGAGGGAAGCUUGAAAGCAUGGAGUAUUGUGAGAGUAUACUUAAAUCUGUUGACUUUUCUGAGUCCGAGGAAGAGGAUUCCAAGGGUGAUGAACUUGAAACUCUUCCUCCUGAAGUUGUACAAGCCAUUCAAAACAUAUCUCUGAAAAGAUCUUUGCUGGAAACCCUUGAUCAGGAUCAGGAUCCAAGGGCAAAAGCUGAGAAGACCAAGUGGAGGCCUGUGCUGGUUCAGAAACCUGCUACUAGGGGGCAUGGCAAUUUGAAUAUCAUGGAAAAAGCUGCUGCUUACAAGAGGAAGCAGAAUCUGGAAAUUCCAAAAACUUUCAAAGGUAAAUCAUUCACUAAUACUGAUCAUAACAUUCUGUUUGAAAAAAUGAGUAAAAUUGAUUUAUGCAUUGGGGGGAUGAGGGGAUGAAUAGUGUAUCCAUAGCGUGUGCGGGGAGAAGUUAACCCCCGGCGGAGACGGAACGGGGAGGGGGCGGCGCCGCUACUGCCGCCCCUACAGAAGGACCAAAUCCAAGCAAAGUGGGGCGGGGAACGAAUACCUUUCCUCCCGAUGCAAGCAACGGGUCGAAGCGCGCGAGGUGGUGGCCCUCGGCGGCGGCGGCGACGCGGGACCUCAUCGGAGCAGGGGAGGGAGCCGCGGAAGCUUCCAGAAGGUUCCGGGAGGGAGGAGGGGGCCUCCGUCCCGGGCCGGGUCGGCGACGAGGCGGCCGAGAGGAGAGGGGAAGGGAAUUCAAAAGAGGGCUUUGCCUUUGGGUUUGGGGAUAGAAAAGGGACGAGGAAAUCACCGUGAGAAACCGCUACAUAGUGUCCCAAGCUCACGGUGGGGCCUACCCGUGUGCCACGCUGAUGGAUGGGCCCGGACCUGGGAUGGUCCCACCUGUCUGCUGGGUUUAGUUUGCUGCUGUCAGCUCGGGUGGAUGGAAGGGGUCGGAGGUAUGCGGCGCUGUUCUGGUCUGCGGGGGUCGGAGGGGUGCCGCGCACGCGUCGGCUCUUGUACCCGUGCGAAGUCGGGCUAGCUCGGGUGCGGUGGGCCGCAGUGUCAGUGGGUGUCCUCGGGUGGAUAAGAGCGCGCCGAGGUUAAGUAAAGAAUUGUGCUGUGUUUGGGUGCGAGGGGCAAGGAAUAUGUGCACGCCGGGAGGAGGGGAUGGGAUCCCGGCCCGUUUGACACCCCCCCCCCUCUCUCCCUUCGACACGACUUGUCAAGUGCUGCAGCAUCGUUUUAACUUUCCGAUGUACUACUAGUACCAUCGUAAAGUUUGAUAUAAAUGAAAAAAUGUACUCCCUUCCUCAAAUUUAAUACAAAGUUGACACUUGUUUUGAAACGGAGGAAGUAUACGAAGUAUUUUUACACUUGUUUUGAAAAGGACAUAGAUUAGCACGCGAAAUUUCUGCUCCCAGGCUCAUCUGCACCUGCGCUCAUAAAAAAAUCAAAGAAAAACUAGAAAAAUCCUUUUUUGUGUGUGUGGCUCAUCUGCACCUGCGCAUGGCCCCUCCUGAUUUGUCUUUUUUGUCGAGAGCUGUUCAGAUGUCCAAAUGAGUUAAAAUUUGGAGCUGACAUCACGCAUCAAAUUAUCUACCAGACAAAAAAUGUAUAUUUUUUUGAAUUUUUUUAGUAUUUGUUUUGAUUUUUUCUGAGCGGGAGCAUAUGAGCCUGGGCACCGAGUUGGAUUUUCACAUAGAUUAUGUACAUUGUGCAAUAGUACCUCGCAAAAGAAAAUAUAAAUUUCCUAGGGCAUUUCUAACUGAAACACCACUAUAUGACUUUUCAAAUGCUCCCUCAAAUCUUAACUCCUCAAACGGCAAGCUGGAGGACACGGGUUUUUCGGGCAAUACUUCCUCAACUUGGACUGCAAUCAGUCACGGCCUAGAUUUGCUCAAGAAAGGUUUAAUAUGGAUAGUUGGGAACGGAAGGAGUAUUCGUAUAUGGAGGGACGCUUGGAUCCCUAGGCCCUUUUCAUAUAGGCCAAUCUCAGUUCAGGGUACAUGCAGGUACCGUUUUGUGUCACAGCUUCUACGCGACAAUGGAUCAUGGAAUUACAAUCUGCUCCAGGAAGCCUUCCUACCAUGUGAUGUGCAGGAGAUUCUGAAAAUAAGAGCAUCGCCGCGGCUAGGCGAGGACGUGCUUGCAUGGGGGCCGGCUGGAAAUGGUGUUUUUUCAGUCGAAUCAGCAUAUACCUUAGCCUUUGAAGAGACAUACAUAUCUACUGCGGAAUCUUCAAGCUCAGCCCCGAAUGGACAUCAGACCUGUUGGAAAGUUAUUUGGAAAAGUUUUGUACCUCUAGCAGUACAGCAGUGAACUCUCUCCCAACUUGGCAAAACAAGAAUAAACGUAACUUAGAAACUUCGGGAAUCUGCCCAAUCUGCGAGCGGGAAGAGGAAGAUACUUUUCAUGCAUUAUGUAAAUGCCCUUUUGUGGUGCAAUGUGGGAAUGCAUGUCAACUGUUUGGCGUUUGCCACAGCUGGAGGAAAUGAAAAAUACGGGUACUGAAUGGUAUUGGAGGCGCUCCAUCCACUCCCUGAGAUUGAUAGUGGUAUGCUAAUGAUGACACUGUGGCGGGUAUGGCAUAACCAUAAUGAAGUGACUCAUAAAAAAGGAUCCAUUGUUGAUGGAAGUGUCCAAGCGUUUCCUGAUGAGCUACAUGGACUCGCUCUUAUCACUGAAAUACUCUGAUUAGGAUAUGUUUAAGGGACAGCAAGUGGUCUCUUAUGAUCAUCUAUAUAAACCACUUGUGAUAUUAUCUACACCUCGGCACAUUCCAUGGGUGUUGCCAAUGGAGGGCUGGACCAAACUCAACACAGAUGGUUCUUGGUCAGUUGAUGGAAGUGCGGGAGCUGGUAUGGUACUCCGGAAUAAUAUGGGUUAGACCAUUUACACAUCAUGCAUAGAGCAUUUCUCGUGCAGACACGCUUUGGAAGCGGAGCUUAGUGCAUGUACGGAGGGGCUUUUACUUGCCAUUCAGAGAACGGAGUUUCCUAUCCAUGUGGAGAUGGAUUCCCGACAAGCUGUGAGCAUGAUCGUUGAUGAGUUAACUGAUAGAUCGAUCUUCUCUUCACUGGUGAAGGAAAUCAAGCAUCUGAGGAACCUCCGUAGAACUACAUUUAGUCUUGUUCAUUGUAUUCAGAAUAGUGUUAGCAAUUUUUUGGCUAAGUUUGCUAGAACUCAGAGUAGAACUGUUGUUUGGCUUAACUCUGUCUUGUCAGAAGUUAUUGAGCUUUGUAAUGCAGAUCAUGGCAUUUAUCCCACUUGAGUAAUACAAAGUUCACCCGCAAAAAAAUCUUAACUCCUAAAAAAUGAGGAGUUAAGAUAGCGGUGGGACUUAACCGAACUCCUAUAUAUAACUCCUUAUAAAAAAGAUAUUUGCUAUUUAGCUAUCUUAAUGCCACAUGUUCUAGAUCCAAACGGCUGUGAUUAUUCUACUGUAUGCCCGUCGUUGAUGGAGAGAGUGUGGGGAUGAGCAGAGGUCGGAUCCCGUCGUGGCUCAGUGGAUGUAGGAUGAGGCAGUGGUGGCUUGCACCAUCAGCCAUGGACCUGGGCAUGCUGCCGCCGAGGCAUUCCAACUGUCUAUGGGAAGGGGGGAGGUCGUGGUGCUCCACGGGUGGAUGGCCAAACGCAGUGGGGUGAGUCCCACCUGGAUUGGCCAGAGUCGGAGGGACGCUCAGCGCCUUGACGUUGCCCGAACCGGAGUCGCCACCACCUCGCGUGGGUGCGAAAGGGGCGAUGCGCAGGUCGUCUAGCCACGAAUCCAUGCUUGAGUUUUUUUGUUAGAAAUCUCAUUGACUUACCUAAUAAAAUCGUGUUGCAUUGGUGAGCCAAUAAGUACUGAUCCAUUUAACAGUAAUAUCUGUUUAUAGUUAACAAUAAAAUUGUAGGUAAAUCAUGGUCAUUGCAUACAUUUAUGUGUGCCUUCGUUACAAUUCACAUGCAAUUAUCUAAUGGACUGAAAUUAAGGUCUAUGGCUUUUAAAAUAAUUUUUUAUUUCUUGUUGGGUUGAGAGUCAACAACCGGAAUCCAACACUUAAUUAUUUGUUGAUGCAAGUUUUAAUUUUGUGUUGCACCUGUUCGUGAGAAUGAGUCUUAGUACUGGAUGAUAACAUCACGUGGCCCUUGCUCUGUUUUCUUUGAACCAAUCUAGACAUGGAAGCCAUUUGUCAACCAAUGAUUUUUCUUUUUCCUAUUCAUAUGUGAAAUUUGUGUGCUAUUUUCUUGUUCUUAUGUCUAGCUAAAUCUAUACCUAAUAAUAAAGGGGCUAUUGCUGCGGCACGUCAUCGAAAUUGCCCCCAAAGUUGCAAAAUAUUACGCACUGAUGCCAUCUAUAUAAGGGAUAAAAAUGUUUCACACAAGGGAAUCCCCGCCUGGGCCGGCCCAUGCGGUAGGAACCUACUAUACUGCACUCUGUUUGUGCCGGCCCAAGUCGGGGCGGCAUAUUUUUUUAAAUUUUGUUUUCUAUUUUUUGUUUUUGUUUGCCAUCUUCAUUUUUCUACUUUAAAUAAUUUUGGAUUUUAAAAAAUUACAAAAUUAAAAAAAUGAGAAUUUUGAAAUAAAAUGUUUGAUAAUUCAUAAAUGUUUGUGCAAUUAUAAAAUGUUCCCGAUUUAAAAAAAUAUGUUUGCAUAUUCAAAAAGUGUUCGUAAAAAACAAAAUAAAUGUUUGGGGAAUAAAAAAUGUUCAUGAUUUUUUUUGAAAGUUUGUGUAUUAAAAAGCAUUGAUGAAAUUGAACAAAAUUUUGCCAAUUCAAAAAAUGUUCAUGAAUUGAAAAAUAUCAUAAAUUUUUGAAAACUGUUCAUGACUUACAAAAUAGUUUAUUGAUUCAUAAAAUGUUUGUGGAUAAAAAAAUGUUCAUUAAAUGAAAAAAAUUGUCCCACCAAUUCCAAAAACAUGUUCGUAGAUGCUAGAAAUAUUAUCCUAUUCAAAAAAAUGUUUUAAAAAGUAUUUUCAAAUAGUAUUAAAUGUUCAUGAAUUCAAAUUUUUACAUGAUUUUAGAAAAUGUUUAAAAAAAUGUAAAAAUCUUCCCGAUUUCAGAUAUGCUCAUGAGUUUAAAAUAUUGUUCAUGAGUUUCAAAAAUUGUUCACGCUUUCAUGAAAAUGGGAGUAUACUGUAUCUUGGUGAUGUAGCAAUAUGUGGUCAUGGCCAUUCAAGAUUAUGAUUUUUUUUCCCGUUGCAUCGCACGGCUGUUUUUGUAGUGUUUUACUUAUAUAUAGUAGAUAUACUUGUGAAAACCAUACAUAAAUAUUGCAUAUCUAUAUAAUUUAUAAUUUCAUAUAAUCCACACGGCAAUACAAAAAUCAAUUUUCAUAUAUAUCCCAAUCACAUUUAUUUCAGGGAGCAUGUCCUUGUACAUCAUCAGCUAGAUCCGUAUGUUUGUUGGAGGGGUGUACUUUGCUUAUUAGCGUAUAUGCAUAUUGUGCACUCACACCCAAAAGGAACACACUUGGCACUGGCGUUGCACGCGCAGUUUGGAGGGCAGUGAAACUUCAAGAGCUCUUGGCCCACUUGAUUCUGGCAUUCACUUAUAUCACAAUCAUGACCACCCGGCUGUGGGAUGAGUUUUCUCUUGCAAUCUUUAUACGCUGUCGCACCUACUCCCUCCGUUCCUAAAUACUUGUCUUUCUAGAGAUUUCAACAAGUGACUACAUACGGCGCAAAAUGAGUGAAUCUACACUUUAAAAUAUGUCUACACACAUCCGUAUGUUGAGUCCAUUUAAAAUGCCUAGAAAGACAAGUACUCCCUCCGUUCCUAAAUAUUUGUCUUUUUAGAGUUUUAAAUGGACUACCACAUACGGAUGUAUAUAGACACAUUUUAGAGCGUAGAUUCACUCAUUUUGCUCCGUAUGUAGUCACUUGUUGAAAUCUCUAGAAAGACAAAUAUUUAGGAACGGAGAGAGUAUUUGGGAACGGAGGGAGUACAAGAUAUCGGCAUGAAAAGAACAUGGGUCACACAUCAUGGCCAUAAUUUGAUAAAUGAGUUUGUGUGAUAUGCAUUAUAGAGAAGAAAAUGGGCACCAUAUGUUAACAGAAGGAAGGCGAGGACCAGGAGUUGAGUCACAGUACCGGUUCUCCUCAUUUUUGCCGUCUUAUGGCGUUGAUAUCUACUGUUGUUGAUGGCUACGAAACUUUAGAGCUGUUUAGGAGAACAAAUAAGAUGGCAAUCUUUUUAUAGAGGGCUUCAUAUCAAUACCAUUACCAUUAUUUGGAAAGACAUUUACUAUUGGAUAUUGUAUACCAAAAAAAUAAUUAUGGAGUAUCAAAUAAGUAAUACUAAUACCAUUAUUGGAAAGAAAUUUAUUAUUGGAUAUUGUAUACCAAAAAAAUAAUUAUGGAGUAUCAAAUAAGUAAUACUACUACCAUUAUUUGAAAACACAAUAUUAUUGGAUACCAAUACCAUUAACAUUAUUUGAAAAACACAAUAUUAUUGGAUAUCAAUACCAUUAACAUUAUUUUGAAACACAUUAUUAUUGGAUAUCAAUACCAUUACCAUUAUUUUGAAACACAUUAUUAUCGCCCAAUGCGCUUGCCAAGAAAAACUUACACCACACACCCACAACUACCGAGCCCGUUGGUGAUCGAGCCUGCCACUGUUACUCUAUGCAAGCAGCAGAACAACACGAUGCAGCGAAAGAACUCUAGCAGCGGAACAACGAUGACGGUGGUGAACUCCACUCCGCAGGGACUCUGGCUAGAACGCUUAUCCCAGCUCGCACGAACAGAAACCACGACAAGCAAGCAAUCAAAUCCGGAAUGACCUGCAAGCUGGCAUGACACGCCAGGUCAGUACAUUGAAUGUACUUGCAAGCUCACAAUAACCAGAAGCAUUCAAGACAGACAACAACAUGGCAAUUACAGGUUAAACAGGAAUUAUCAUGAUAUCAUCAAAACAAUAUAGCAUGAACAAGAUGAACAUGAUACGGCUAACAGAACAUGAACAUGGAAUGAACAUAUUAAUCCGACAAUACUAGCAUGCAACAUGAUGACACUAUCAUGCACUACUUAUUCUGCUCGGGUUACCUCGUAACCAACACAUGCAUCACUUACCAACCUCGGACAUCACACGAUCAUCUCAGGAUCAAAUCAAGCUUGGUAUAAACAAUACCGUAGUAAUCAUUAAAUGGCCACAAGGAGCUUGAUCUUUACCCACGAUUCUCGCACAACAUCACGAAUAUCCAACGACUCGGUAUCCUCAAUACCACCAUGAUCCUUACGGUGAUCACAACCACGACCAACACUUGGUCUCAAACCAUGAUCCUUACGACGAUCACAACCACGACCAACACUUGGCCCCAAACCGUGAUCCUUACGGCGAUCACAACCACGAGUUGUCAUUAAUCAAGUUAUUCUUAUUACUGUUGACUCAUGGUGUACCCUACUUUCGAACUGGGCCCUUAUCCGUGGGCGCGGCUAUCGAUAGAUUUAACAUACACUCUGCAGAGGUUAGUACACUGUACCCACACUACGGAACCCAUGGCCUCGCACUCCCAUUCGGGUGGACCAACGGCGUUCCGACAAAACCGUUCUAUUGCCAUGACACUCUCCCGGCCACUCCGACUCACUCCCCACUGGGCUAAGUCAUGGGUGGCCCCGUGUCUACCUCAAGAUACCUCAAUCCACCGCCGUGGCCCAAAACAAUAAACCGUCCCAAACGGGGACAUGUGCACAUAACAACAACAAUGGGAACACAAGUCUUAUGUCCGCCUACCUGAUCAAGGUAUCGCGCGCCCAUAACCUUCCCUCGUUAGAGGCACCGGCGAGAGGCGCGACAAUAGACCCAGUUAGGACCGUCCCAUACCGGUAAGCGUGGUUGCACUGGUCAGCAUCAUUUCAAUGGCACCAUGACUCAACCAACAGUUAUUCAAGUUCAAUUUAAUCCGGUUAACUUGAAUGCAAAUAUGCUGAGCCAUGAUAAAAUGCAUGAACAUGAUAUCAACAUAAUCAUGAGGGUAUCACAUAACUACCCACCAUAUCAACAAUAAUUCAUAUCCACUGAGCAUGGCAUACUGACUAGCAUGACCAUCACCAACAUCAACAUGUACUACUAGCAAGCAUAAACAUAUGAAAGGAAAUACUAGCAGGUAGAACAUGAUAACAUAGUACAAGACAACCUAGCACAAAAGUGAACAUGCAAAUCUAAACAUCACCGGAACAACGAUAACCAUCUUUUCAACAAGCAAAUAUUUAAUAAAGAUUCAAGUUGAAAACCGUGGCUACUGCAUGACUAUUAUGCAAGUGGGUAUUGUGGUUUCCUGGGGUGGAAGAAAUCACUGGGAGAAGCGCGAGAAAAUCGCGGAACGAAUCGCCGGAAAACAUACUCUCUUGGAGGGGGCCGAAUAAGGGCAAGGGCAUAAUGGUCAUUUUCACAGUGUCAAACCAUAGUGAAUGGAUGGCCAACAGAACGGGCUCGACGAAACAAAGAAGUAGGCUUUGGAAUCACCUCAUUUGGAGUUACGGAUAAAAAGAUACGGACAUUUAAAACUCAGGGACUAAUCUGUAAAAAUACUUCUACAAACAGGUCCCUGGCAGUUUUAAACCGAACGCGUCUUUCUGAGAAUAUGCCUUCAAAUCAGGAAAACGGCUUCGCGCCGGGGCUCCUCCACUUAUCCACGUGGCGCUGACCAGUCAAAGAGGCAGCAGCGGGGCCGGGCGCCUGGGUCGCUGCCAGGUGGGGUCACGGGGCCCGCCUGGCCAGGUCAACGCCCCACAUGGCAGGCUCCUUCUCCAGCUGGAUGCGCGCCGGGCCGAGGGGAGGCGACCGCCCCGACGGCGCUCGCAGGUGUGUCCGGCCACGGCAGGCGACGGGCGACCUACCCACGAGAUCGGGAGGAGGAGGCGCACCCCGGGGUAGUAUCCGUUGCCGGCGACGAGCACUGGAGAGGGAGCAGCAGGGGCCGCUGCGGAGAGGAGCUUCGGCCUCGGGAAAACUAGGGCUCCNNNNNNNNNNNNNNNNNNNNNNNNNNNNNNNNNNNNNNNNNNNNNNNNNNNNNNNNNNNNNNNNNNNNNNNNNNNNNNNNNNNNNNNNNNNNNNNNNNNNNNNNNNNNNNNNNNNNNNNNNNNNNNNNNNNNNNNNNNNNNNNNNNNNNNNNNNNNNNNNNNNNNNNNNNNNNNNNNNNNNNNNNNNNNNNNNNNNNNNNNNNNNNNNNNNNNNNNNNNNNNNNNNNNNNNNNNNNNNNNNNNNNNNNNNNNNNNNNNNNNNNNNNNNNNNNNNNNNNNNNNNNNNNNNNNNNNNNNNNNNNNNNNNNNNNNNNNNNNNNNNNNNNNNNNNNNNNNNNNNNNNNNNNNNNNNNNNNNNNNNNNNNNNNNNNNNNNNNNNNNNNNNNNNNNNNNNNNNNNNNNNNNNNNNNNNNNNNNNNNNNNNNNNNNNNNNNNNNNNNNNNNNNNNNNNNNNNNNNNNNNNNNNNNNNNNNNNNNNNNNNNNNNNNNNNNNNNNNNNNNNNNNNNNNNNNNNNNNNNNNNNNNNNNNNNNNNNNNNNNNNNNNNNNNNNNNNNNNNNNNNNNNNNNNNNNNNNNNNNNNNNNNNNNNNNNNNNNNNNNNNNNNNNNNNNNNNNNNNNNNNNNNNNNNNNNNNNNNNNNNNNNNNNNNNNNNNNNNNNNNNNNNNNNNNNNNNNNNNNNNNNNNNNNNNNNNNNNNNNNNNNNNNNNNNNNNNNNNNNNNNNNNGAGGAAGAAGACGAGCUCACGGGCGCGCACUGCUCGACCCUUGGCACGGCUCAUCGGAGAAGAAAAUGGAGGGGGGGGGGGGCGGGGUCCAGGCGAACGGCGACAAUGAUGCAGAGCUACUAGACAUGCGGGGACGAGCCAAAUCCAGCUGGAGCAACGAUGCCGAGGCCAACAGUGGCUAGACCACCGUUUUGGCUGGCUGCCCUCGUGGUCACCACUGGCAUGGUGCACUCUGGAGGUUUUACUGAGGCCAGAUUAUGUCUACCACGUAGUCCUUCAAAGAUAGAUUGUUACUACGGUAAAGGUUUGGGCAGAGACAAAUGGAGCUGAGUAAACCAUGCUCCACAAGUUUGCUGUUGCAAACUUGGCAACAUCCUAGAGGUAAAACCAAAGAGUUUGAAUGGUAAAUUUGAUGUCUGGGAGGCUUAGGGUAGAAAGGACUACAGUCCUGGGGGGUUUGAGGGUAAAUGGAUCAAGAUUUACUGCAGUUGCUUCACAACUGACCAAAAUGGUCCAGAAACUAGAUCAUGAUGAUGCUCUCACAUGGAGUUAUGAAAUGAGAUGCAGCUUGGCAAAUACUCAUGAUAUGGACAUAUAAAGAUUCUGUAAAAAGCUCAUGCCAAAUGGACAAGCCAAAAUGGCACUUGCUUCACAAACAUCAUUUCUGUCCAGAAACUUGGAAUAAUUAUGGUGAUCAAAUGGAUCAAUUAAAUGAUGCAAAAAUGGGUGGAGAGAUGUUUCAUGGGUAUAAGAAUGAUCUGGUAAUUUAUCAGGAUUUUUGAAGCAAUACAAAAUGCACUCGCUUCACAACCUGAAAAUAUUGCCAUAAUCAAAGAUUUGCUCCUAUGCUCACAUAGAUGAUUUUAUGGGACUGCAAAUUGGUGGAGGGGGUUAAUAUGAGCACAUUAAAGAGUGUGCAAAAUUUCAACUCAUUUGGGUACUCUUAGCUAGUACUUCCUUCACAAAGCCUUCUGUUUGACAGAAACUUUGAAAAAUCACUGAGGAAGAUUGACUAGGAAAAUAAAGUUUAACUUGUGCAUGAGGCAAUUAUUCGGACAUAUAAACAUUCCCAAAAAGGAUGGGAGCCACUAGGAAAAAUAUAAAUGACACUUCCUUCACAAAGGGCCAUUCAGGGCAGAAUAGAAAAAGGAAUAUUGGGGAAUUACUUUUGAACAUGGCAAUGAAUAGUUUUGCCAUAUUUGAUCAAGAUAUGACCCAAACAAUUUAUGAGAAUUAUUUGGGAAUUUUUGGAGUGAUGGAAAUAUAGGUUGCUUCACAACCUAGGGCAAUUUGAGUUAUUCCUUUAAUAGAAAAGGAAUAUUCCCAAUAAAAAGAAUAUUGGGAUUUGGGCUAGGAUGAAAAUGACAGGGUCUAGGAGAGGAUUUAGUAAUGACAAGCCACUCUGGAAGCAAAGAAGAGGUCAUCUUCUUCAGUUUCCAGACCACAAAGCCACGAAAAAAAAGAAAACUCAGGCAAAAACCUCGGAAAAACAAAAGGAAAAGAAAGGGCCAAAAAUCAGGCUGUCAUAGUAGUGUCAAAAACCGUCUUACAUUAUGGGACGGAGGGAGUACUACACAAAGUUACCUAUCUCUCACUUUCUCUCCUUUCGUAAAUAGACUAAACCAAGCUUUGUUUGGUGAAAUACAUGACCAAUCGCACGAGGGACAAGACGGGAGGUUGGGCAGUUCUGCACCACCCCGGUCGCCACAGCUCAGCCCCGCGUCAAUCAAAGUGACCAAAGAUCUAAGUGCAGUGAACAAGUUAUAAAUUUUUCUCUUGAGAGUAGAAAAUGAAACCACUGGAAACAAAACGCUUGACUACCAUGAAUCAAGUUUCUAGUAGUGAACUAUUUUGCAAAAAAACAACUACGUUUGCUACCAUAGUAUAAACAAAAAUUUGGCUUCGGAACAAAAACUGCAAGUUGGUGAACAAUAUACUUAACUAUCAUGAACAGAAAAAAAUAUGUGAAUGUGAAUACAUUUUUUAAGUAGAGUGGACAAAUUUCAACAUGAAAAGAAAAGGAAAUAAAACUAUAAAGAACGGGAGGUUGGACUGUGGCGGACAAUUUUUUUCUUACUGCAAUGAACCAACAUUUUAAGUGUAAUGGAUACAUUCUUUAAGUAGACCGAACCAAAAUUUUGACUUCAACACCAAAAUUUAAAUCAUGAUGAACAAAAACUAUAACCGCACUAUGAACAAUAAAUUUUGGACGCCGAUGCCGCACGACUUGUUCGGUACGAGGGGAUUGAUCCCCCCGCAUGAAUUCAUUCGGCAGGGGGAAUCCAUAGCCCACAGGCCUCCAUCACACCAGACCCUUUCCCUGUGAAAAAAAGGAACAUAAAACCCGCUGACGGCGAAUUAAAUGAAAAGACCCAGAUUAUUUUUCCGUGACAAAUAGAAGCCCAGAUUUUGCUCGGCUACUAAAAAAUGCCAUCAUCUUUAAAAAGCAUCAAAAUGAAAAAAAAAAUCCAAAAAUGCCAUUCAAGAUUGACCAAACUAUUUGCCAUUAUAUUCUUUUUUUACAAUGGCAAGGUUUGUAAACACAUAUUUGAUUCCCCAAUAAAGCAUGGCAAAUCUGCCAUGACAAAAAAAAAAU
rnacentral:lncRNA from 1 species